rnacentral:lncRNA from 1 species
GUGAGUGAUGGUCAAAGGACACUGUCGAAAUUGGAAGAAAUGUCAACACUUACUAGUGAAUGACCAUCUAACUCCCAAUAACUAUAGCCUGUUCUCUGCCUCCUAUACAUCUUAUAUCAACAGACAUAAUCUCACAGUCACUAGUGAACUCCAAAUAACUCCAAAUAACUCUAGCAUGUUCUCUGCUUCCCUAUGCAUCUUGUAUGAACAAACAUAUCCUCACCAAUUUUACAUCCUCUUAAUCCAAUUACACAGGGGAAGUCUACGGGAGUGCUCCAGUUAAUCAAUCAUAUAGUGACUACAAAAACAGGUUAUAACUCCUACAUCCAAUCAAAUAUCAUCCAUACACAAAUUUUCCAUUACAGAAUAGAAUAAUUUAAUAAAAAUGUAAUACUCAAACAGAGUAAGAACAUCCCAGCUACCAAUUACUAGCUGACCAUUAUACAAACCAGCAUAAUUCACUUCCAAUAAACAAUUAUCUCACAAAUGCUCAACCACAAUAUUCGAAAAACAUAGAAAUGCAACUCCCUUACCUUCUUAAUGAGCCCAAGUAACGUCUCCGCCGACGAUUGCCUAGCAAUAUUCAUCGCCUGAGACAGACUCAACCCAACCACACACUCCAAAAACGCAACCUUUCCAUUGUCACCUUUCUCCUUAGCCAAAUACUUCACCUUCUCUUUAAACCCAACCAACUGCUCUCUCCACGCCCCAAGCUCAUCCAACUCCUCAACCCCAUCCACCAACAUCCUCAUAUAUCUCGGCGAGUUCAACGAAACAAACACUGCCUCCUCCUCAGAGACCCCAGACUCUCGAAGAAGCUCCAAGAUAGCUUCUUGGGCAGCCAAGACUUGCUCCGGUGAGUGCUCCGGUGGGGGUGCUGAAUGGUCCGGCGAGCAGGGGACGGUGAAGGUGGAGAUGGGUUUUGGUGGGUGUGUGGAAAAAUGGGUUCUUGGGGUUUUGGGUAAGGUGGAGUUUGAGAGUGAGUGUGGGGUUUGGGGUUUGGGGGGUUUGGGAAGAAGGAUGGGUUUUUGGGUGGGUUUAGGGAUGAGGAUAAGUUGAUUGUUAAGGUGAGGGUUGUGGGGAUUGAGAGGAAUUUGGGGGAGGACAUAAUUGAAGAGUUAGCAGUCUCUCAAAUCUCAAUGCAUUUGAGAUGAUGGAGUCUUUCUUAAACCCUAUAUUGUGUGAAAGUGUUGUGGAAGUAAAACCUUAAGAACCUCAAACUGAGGUAUAGACAUUUGUGAGAGUAAGGAAAGAGACAAAAAGAAAUCAAAUUACUUCUCUCUCAUUUUAUCAAUUAAUUUACUUUUUCUAAUAUAGAGAAGAGAAACCACUAUAAAAGAAAGAGAUUAUUACAAAAACAAAAAAAGAAGUUUCUAUUUGUGUCUUUUUCUUUAGAGGAAAAAGCAUAGGUCUCCUCCCAAAUCCCAACUAUCAAAAGCAGAAGCAACAACACUAUUAAUGAGCAGAGUAUGGCACUCAAUAACAUUUUCAACAAGAGCCUCAGAUCCACAUACCCAAUUUUGUCUAGUCUUUUGUGCAGAUUGUUUGUACCUAUUUUUUACACAUCGGCCCACUAAGUCGAAUUCGUUGGUUGCGAGGAAGAUUACAACAAUUAAUGAUAAUUAUUACGAUUAUUUCGUAUAAUUAUCAUCACAAUUAUUGAGAUUUGCCGAUAUUCAUUAUUUGGUAUUAUAACCACAUACCAAAUAUUGAAGCAACGGCGAUAUAUGGCAACAAAUUAACAUUAUGGCUAAUUGGAAAAAUUUAAGACUGAAAUUUCAACAUAAUUAGCAAAUCAAUUGCGACGAAGCCACAAGAAGAAAGAAAUAAACGUGUGAUUAAAGAGAAAGCAAUACGGAGCAUAUCUUUGAUUCGGUCAUCAAGAUCGAAAUAUUUAUUUUAUUUAAUUGUUUUCUCUUUCCUUGGUUUUUGUGUUUGUAAUAGUAUAUAUAUAGGAGACAUAUACCUCAUUGUAAAGGGUACACAUAGCUCAAUACAAUCUCAAACACUUCAAAUUCUCUACGAAUUCUCUACAAUAUCAAUCUUUUUAUCCAUGUUCUAGCAUAGUUUUCUUCUUCUUUUCAUCGCUUUCUUUACCUUCUACAUUUUAUCGCUUUCUUUACAUUCUGCACUUUACUUUCACGCAAUUUCUCUUCCGCGUCUUUAUAUUCACGCACUUUAAUUUCUCGCAAUUACUUCAUGCAAUUUACGUUUCAUGUAAUUUAAAUUUUCGCUUUUAGAUUCUUGUUCUUUUACUUUUCGCACUUUAAUUCUCGUAAACUUAUACAAAAAUUACAAAAAAAGAGAAGCAACAUUGGUGAAAACACCAAAAGUCCUUGCAACAAAGGCAAGAGAACCCAACGGCCGAGACGGUUCCUUCCUCGGCCUACAAUCACUUGGGAGAAGUCAGAUCAGACAUAAAAUAUUUAUCAAAAACCUCGCUUGGCGAAUAGGCCGCGAGUUGGCACGCCCGCACAAAUUUGAAGAACGAUUGUUCUCAAGCGCUCGGCCCUAAUCUCGGCCGAGACGAUUUUUGAGCAAACACAGAUAUCUAAGGAUCUUCACAUUUUGGUCGAAGACUCAUCAGCAGCUCCAGAAUCGCAGCCGGAGGCCAAGAUGAUUCCACAGUCUCUUACCUGGUUCACUCAUGUUGGUUGUCUCCAGAGGCCGCCAUUGAAGCAUCCCACAAGGUAAAGCUUCGAUCUUUAGAGAAAGCAGACUCCGUGUUAGCCCUUUUCAGACGCUAUGAAUUCUCAGAUACCCAGAUCUCAGAUCUUGUGCGGAGACACCCUAGACUUCUUCUUGUGGCAAAUGCCCAGAAAACGCUUUUGCCAAAGCUCGAGUUUUUAAGCUCCAUAGGUAUGUCAAGGCUCGACCUUGUUAAAACAGUGAGCCUCAGCAAUAUGCUGUUGCACCGAAGCUUGAAAAACAACAGUAUACCCUGUUAUACCUACCUCAAGAAAUUGGUAAUUUCUGAUGCCAAGGUCGUGUUCAUUAUAAAGCAUCACUCAUGGUUUUUCUGGCAAAUGCCAGCAGUGGAUGUUACAGCAAAUAUUAGGCUUGGUACAGACCUUGGCAUGCCCUCCAAUUGUAUUGCCUAUUUGCUAAAAUCUCAUACUAGAAUUGUCACGAAAAAGCAUGAAGAGUUCAGUCAGAUUGUUAGCAAUGUCAAAGGAAUGGGAUUCGGCCCCAGAAAGAUAUUAUUUGUGCAAGCCAUGGGCGCAUUAUCCGUGAAGCAAACAGCAUGGAGAGUUAAGGAACAGGUGUAUAAGAGGUGGGGAUGGUCUGAGAGUGAUAUUCGUUCUGCAUUUAGGAUGUUACCGCUGUGUAUGCUUGUUUCGGAGGAGAAAAUAAUGGGAGUAAUGGAGUUUUUAGUGAACACAAUGGGAUGGAAAUCAGGAGAAGUUGCAGAGUAUCCGUAUGUUCUUUCGUACAGCUUGGAAAAGAGAAUCAUCCCUAGGUGUUCGGUUAUUCGAGUGUUGUUGUUGAAAGGAUUGAUAGAAGAGAUGGCUCUGACUUUGGCUAGUGUUUCUACGUGUCCAGAGGAGUAUUUCUUAAGUAGGUUUGUCACCAGAUAUCUGGACCGAGUGCCUCAAUUGUUGAAUGUAUACCACCAGAAAGUGGACGUGGAGGAUGUAUGAUCUUGAUGACAAUGCAGCAAUUCUGGGUUGACAGUUUGGAAUCUGUAGGUGCAACUGGGAAAAAUGGCAAGGAGUCUGUCAUGAUUUUAAAGGAGCCUUCAUUGUGAUGAACAAUGAGAUAUGUGAUUCGCAGCAAUCGAAAUGUGUUCUGCGUUGUCACUCUUACUGGUUUUAUGGUCUGUCAAAAAGGUGAAAAGUUGAACUAUUAGCUGCUGGAUUUAUUACUCUUAAUGGUGUAUUAGGUUCUUAGGGUUCAUUUCGUCUCUGUUUAGUCAUCUACUUUUCAGUUGCAAUGCGUAGUACCAUCUACUUUAUAUGGAGCUUGAAGUUGAAUUCUAAUAGAUACAUACCUUACAACAUUCAACUGGUAAUUCCCUGGUUGUUUCCCUUUAAGUAGAAGCCAUGUUCAGAAAAGAUGCAACAGUAUUCCGUGGCACACGGUCUGCCUUAGAAACUUGUUCGUGUGAAAUGCUCAUGGAAUAGAGGUACUGUUGACUGCUAUCUGAUAUAAAUUACUUGCAUCUGCUUGAACUUGAAGAAUAUACUGCAUAUGGUUGAUAAAAGAAUAAAAUACCUCUACCAACUCGUUUGACUAUUGCUUGAUAAAAUACUUUGACAUAUGUGGUCCUUCCUCGAGUUCCUUAGUUUUACUUCAAAAUUUACGUGGCCGAUCACUAUGCCAAUAAGAGUUGAGGUUGUCAACAGAAUUACACGCACAAAUUGCACAAUAGGUAAUCCUCUUCUUGUCUUCAUUGAGGACAACAUGAAGCUUGCCAGAAUGUUCAACUGUUCAACUUCAGACACGUUGGGCAUAAUAUUGUUGGUAUCAGUAUGUUGCAUAACUACUCUCCCCUCCAUUUGCUGCUGUAGUAGCAUAUAUGUUUAUAUUCUUUGGAAGCAAACCCUCAAACAUACUCCCAGACUCACAGAUUACAAGGGCAGUCUGGUUUUGAUCAACUAGGUCAUAAUAUUUAAUUAUUUAUACUCAAAAAUUCUUCUACGCAUCAACAAGGUGCAAGUGAACAAAACAACUAAUAUGCAAUAUUUUGAUUCGGUCAUCCACGUCGCAUUAUCAUACAUGUAUUCUAAUACCGUUAACAAAAUUGAAACCUAAAAGUGUUUCCAACACAGGAGGUGAGGAUCUAAAGUCGAAUAAGAAGUACUCUUAUAAUAGAGGCUUAAUUUGAUCGGAUCAAAAAUGAAAAUGAAAGGAAUGAAUUUAAGGUCUCUACUCUUCAUUGGAUUUUCGCAUACGGCUAUUUAAGAACUUGCACAUUAAUGGUGCAAGUGCACCUUGGUGCGUAGAAUCCGCUCCGAUUUAUACUGUUAUAAAGGCCCUAAUACGAAGCUUAUCUAUCAAACAUUUAGAAAGAUGCACAAACUUUUCAUUAAUGCUGGACACAAAUAGUACAAAGUCAAUUAUUUGAUUUUCCCAGAAACUCAAAAAUAGCUAUAAGGAUGCUGGAGAUAGAAGCCAAGUCACCACUAGUACCGCACAAUGGCAAUGAAUCAGGUGGUAUAUCCUCGAAUGCUUCACACAUGCAUGAAAAUUUACAGCAGCAUCAACUACUGCACGUUGUAGUGCAACAUAGUCCCCAGACCUGACCUUCUCUUUCGCUUCCUUGAGAUCAGCAAUGGCUUCACUGUAAGGCCUCUGACAUCCACUAAUUGCAUUCUUCAUUCGAGGGUUGUCUGUUUGGUUUCGCCACUUGGGAAUCUGCUGGCUGGUCUUUGUAGCGUUCAAAGAUGCAACACCUAUAGUGGCCUCAGCGAGGCCAAGAAGGAAGGACUUGCUCACAACAGGAUUAGAACCAAGAAAUUUUUCACAAAAGGAACGACUCAAGACAUUAUUGUUGGAGCAAAUAUCCUUGUUUAUGUCAAAAGCAGAGGAGGGAGUAAUACUCAUUAGAACCAUGAAAGACAUUACAGCAAAGAAUGCUAUUGAGGAGGAAAAAGAAGAGGGAACCAUUUUGUGAACUUGUUUUGGGCUUCUGAUCAGUAUGUGGUUGAGUUGAAUGGUAUGAUAUCUGGCACUAUGGUACUAGAAUUCAAGUUUUUAGUAACUUUGGAAUUAGAAGGUAUUUCCAAAGGCUAAAAAUAUUGACUGGCUACUGAAUGCAGUGGGAGCUGUUACUCUACCUUAUUGACUGGCUUUAAACUUUGAUCAGCUUAACACACAACAAAAUCUCAUCUGAGUUUUCACGGUUGAGCUUAUGGUCAAAGAAAAUCAUUAUGACAGGUAGUCAGCUCAGCUGGAACCAAAAUAUGAUUGCCAAACCAACUUAUUGGAACAAAAAUAAAUUUGUGAUUAACACUAUAGAAUAUAUAUCAAGACUAAAUAUAGAUCACCCCAAUAAUUCCAAUAUAAUCAGAACAUACAAACCACACAAAAUAAAAAUUUGAACUAGGAAUCGGAAGCAAAAAUAGCAUACAUUACCCAAAAUUAAAGUGUCAUCUAAACGUUUGACUCAAAUUAAUUAGUACGGAAAAUGGUCAAAAGUACUGAUUAUGUCCAUAUUGAAAUGAAAUUAGUGUGUUUAAUUACAUACAACUUGCUACAGUUAUAAAUAUUUCAAACUCCUUUAAAAAAAUAAAUAUUUCAAACUUUGGUACGUAACUCGAGGGAAUUCCCCUACAUUUAUUGUGUGCUAUGGUAGCAUUAUACAAUCCCCUAUAAAAAGGACCUUAGCUACACCUUAACAAGAACCCUAUCCUGCUUAUUCAUACAAGUUGCAUGAACGAAAGCAUUUUCCAACCCUUUUGUCUUGCAAAGAUGAAGAUCGUUUCAACAUCUGGGCCCCUACUCACCAUAUUUAUCAUUCAAAUCGUGUUUCUUCCAAUAAGCCAUUGCAGGGCCGAUCUCAUUGACCAAACAUGCAAACAAACACCCAACUACAACCUAUGUGUUUCUUCUCUCAAAUCGAACCCUCGUAGCUCCGCUACUGAUGUCAAGGGCCUAGCCAUCAUAAUGGUCGAGGUGCUUAAGUCCAAGGCAAAUGAAACUCUGAACAAAAUAUGGGCGCAGCUUCUUAGGCAUGAAGACCCUGCAGUCAGAAAUUGCUAUGAUCAUUAUGGUUACAUGGUGGGAGCUUUCAUACGAGAUAUCUAUGGAGAUUUAACUUCAAGGGGUGUAGGUGGUAACUUUGUACGUUACAACCCUGCACAGGCGGAGCGACGCUUGCACGAUGAUGUUAUCCGAAGAGUUGAUCAUUGUCGGCAUGGUUUUGGUAAAGGCCGCCAAUCUCCAUUUGGAAAGGAAAACAAAGCCACCCGUGAAGCUGCGGUUGUGGCUGCAGCAAUUGUUAGGAUAUUGAUCUGAUGUACUUGCGUCACCUCAACAUAAUUCCAGAUUCAAGGACCAACUAAUUUAUGUCUUCAUGCAUUUGUGGAAAUUGUAGUACUAGUAAGUUUACUGUCUUAGAAAUGAUCGGGUUACAUUUGUUCUUGUAUUUCAAUUAACGAAUACUAAUAACAUUAUGCAGUAUCAUGUAAGGCCACAGCCAUGAUUAUUUUUCUUGUGAACUAGCUAGCCUUUUGAUUGUUUCUUGCGAAAUUAACCUCUUCUUACCAAGUAAUUAAGAAGUGAAUGUUUCCUACCUUAAUUACCUUGUAAGGAUGUCUUCCUGGUGUCCUUAGGAGAAGGAAAACCCCGUCAGACUAUUGUACUUCUACGCUGCAUAGCUACAGAUCAGAAGCUUUAAAGAGACAUGGGUACUAUACUGAUCCUGUCCUAUAUCCAUGGCUCUCUCGCUCAUCAGCCAUUCAAUUAAUUUAUAACUUUUCCUUUGUUCUUGUGGUUUUGCCAUAGAAGCCUCAGCACUCGCCCAGUGGCGGAGCGAGCCUAGUCAAGACUAGGCAGGUCUGCAUGGAGCCCAGGUUAUCUGAAGUCAAGAAAAAAAAAACUACAUCAUGCUCAUCUUUUCUUCUUCAUUCUUCCUACGCUAAUAGUCUGAUUACAAAACCCUAACACACACACAUAUAGAUAUCUCAAAACCCCACUCCAUCUUACACCUCGUGUUUUUUGGUUGAAUACUCCAUCUUACAUAUAAUUCCAUUGAAACUUUGUGGCCACGUUUUAUAAGAUUUAGUUAGACUUUUCAUAAAAAUUUCUCGCACAAUACGUCAAGAUUCGUUGAAGUUUUUUUGAUGUUACAAUUAGCCCGGGUAAUAAUUAAAUCCUGGCUCCGCCACUACACUCGUCUCAUCUUUAUUCCCGGGCUCGUCUCAAUCUUAGUUAGCUUCUUUGGUCUUCAUCUAGUUGGCUCAUAUGCCCUCCUAGGCUUCGAGUAUCUCUUGGACUCCUUUGUUAUCUGUAUUAGUAAAGUUACCCUCUUCCCUGGUGGUGUAAAUAAACUUACGCACUCAUUUCACCGUUCACUUAUUUGGCUGUUGAAAAGAGCUCAAGAUUGGGGAAAAUAUAGUGGCGAGAAUGUAAACAACCAAGUAGAGCACAAAAAACAUGCUAGCAAGUAUAGAAUGCUUUCUUCUAUUGUAAAAUUUUUCUUUGUUUGUUGAAAUAUAAUAUACUAGUAAAUAAAACUUGUCUAACAGUGUUUUAGAUACUACCCGCGCGUUGCUGCGGGCUAGGAUUUCUUGAUGAUGAACAAUAUUCAAUCCCCAUCUCACGCCUCUCAUGCCACCAUCUUUUCUAAAUCUAUCGCUGAUUCCCCCGCCUUCCCUAUUUUUUCACAAACACAUCCAUCUUUCCCAAAUCCACCAUCAACAUCAUGACCUCCAUGCUUGCAAAAUCCAUCGCUCACCUCCAAUUCUACCACCUGCACAAAAUUCACCAUCAACCCCAUAGCCUCUACCAUCCUUUUUUAAUUCCACCACCAUACCAUGGCCUUCCCUUUGCCAAAACCCACAAUGGACACCUCUGGCCCACAACCAAGUAAAAAAUGGAAAAUAAAAAAGUAAUAAAAUUUUCAAGGACACAAACGUUUUUUUGAUCAGAACAAUUGAAUAUUUGUAAAUAAAUUUGAAUUAAAGGGUAAUACAGUUUUUUUGGUCAGUAUAAUGGCAGAUUCAUAAAUAAAUUGCAUUAAAGGGCAAAAAAGACCAUUCACCAACCGGGAGAAAAAAACAAUUCACUGGAACUUGGGGGCAAAAACAUAAUUCACAAUAGAUAUGAACAGUGUUUACCCCUUAUUGUUUUAUUUUAUAUAAUUAGUGACGUAAAACUAAGUUACAUUUCGCAAAUGAGGAUGAUAGAAUCAUUAGAAUGAGAGUUAAAGAAAGAACAAACACCAGCGUAGGAUUGUAUGCACUUAACCAAGCUAGGUCGGACAUGUCGUUACUGAAACUAUCCAAGUAUCCAUUAAAUCAAACAAGGUGAGAAUAACACAUAACCAAGUUGAACGAAACACAUGUCUAUAACAUGAUCAUUGAAAUAACAUGACACUGUAUCCAGUUUGGUGUGAUACCAACAACCUAUAAUUAUAUAAAUAACAUCCGUUGCUUGAAGAAAUUAACAUCAAUAUGAAAAUAAUAGAAAUAAGUCAUAUGAGACAUCGGAAGAAACUAAAAAUUUAAAUCUUAGUCAAGGAUAUCGUCAACAUUUGGUCAUUUAGAGUAUAAUGUACCAUUGAGACUAGCUUUUAUCAACUUAUAUUUUUUUUGACAGUUUUCACAGUCAGAGAAUUUAUGAUUGGUCUAAAACUCUUUUCGGACCUUUCAAUGUGAAUUAGUUACUUGGAGUCUUGGCUGCUUAAAAACAGCAAAAGAGUGCGGCUAUUGGGACCUCCAAAUUUGCUCAGUAUACCUUUUAUGCUCUUUACACCUCCUUUUAAAUUCUUAACAUAACCUUAGUAUGUUAUUCACAUAUAUCUUGAUAAUUUACUCACUAUACAUCUUAUUUAUUCUCUAGACCUCUCAUUCUUUUAAUUUUUUUUCUUUCUGCAUGCUAUCAUCGAGACCUCUAUUCCUUGAUAUUUUUUAUUUCCUAUAGAAUGUUACCAAACCUCCAUUAUUUGAUCAAUUUGUUAGAAAAAAAUUUCAAUGACGUCAAUUUUUCUUUUAAAAUUCAAAUAACACAAAGUAUUGGGUUUCAAAAACUUAUAUUUACCAGCCCAGUACUGUCUCUCCUUAUAAAUGAGAGGUCAUGAGUUCGACUCAUAGCAGACUCAUUGGAGCAUAUUAGUUGUUUAUCUGAUAAAAAAAAACUUAUAUUUACCAACAAGAAAAUAUUCUGACAUAAAUUAGCUUUUCUUUUUUUAUUUUAUUUGUGCUAAACAACGAUCAAGGAUAACAAUUGUAUACUAUGUAGGUUUUUUUUCCCUCUAUUUUAUGUACAUGAAAUUAUUUCAAUAGUUAUUUAAUUUUUCAUCAUCGAUUUGUUUUUGCAGCAAAUAUAUAUAUGUAUAUGCACACACCUUCACCUUGUAUAUAUAUUAUAUAUAUGCUUUCAACAUGUAUGAUAGUAGAAAAUUUUAUGUCACACGGUCGAUAUUGAUCAUAGUUCUAGCUCUAAUUAAAUAUAUAAUAUGUAGUAAAAUUUAGAAAAUAGUAAAUUAGAAACUAAAAAUAUAUAAAGAAAAUAAUAAAGAAUACAAUCAAUUAAUUAUUGAAUUGAAAAGUCUAGAGAGAAUAAAUAUACUUCUUUUUAUAUGAUUAUUGUCCUUAAUAGUCAUUAAUUACGUAAGAGGAGAUAAUUGUCAUUUAAUAACUCAUAACAAAGGGAGGUCAAGUGAGUAAAUUUGGAGAUCCCAAUAGCCGCACUCACAGCAAAAUUCGUCAUCAUGUUUCAAUUCAUUGCUUUUUUUCAUUAUGAUGUUAAUAAUAAAAGAAUUGGCAUUACAUUUAUGCAACUCCAAGAUAUGUUUAUGUUCUCAAAUCGUUACACUCUUGUUCAAUUUGAUUAAUUAUCUCCAAUUCAAACUAAACGCAUGACCAAAAUAUAUGAAUACUCCUUUUCCAUUUCUCAUGAGAAGGCCUAGUGCAUCGUACAAGAGUGACAAACAAGCAAGCAUUGCGGCAAUACAUAAUAGAAGGAAGUUAAACAUCAUAAUAUUUAUACAUGCCUAAUUAUAAGAAGCUUAUUUAUAAAGGAUUAGGGAAAGAUGCACAAAUCCCCUCAUAGUUCCAAGACACAAAUAAAUACAAAAUCAUUUAUGCAUAUGAUUUUCCCAGAAACUCGAAAACAGCUAAAAGGAUGCUGGCGAUAGUAGACAAGUCAACACUAGUACUUUCCAAUGGCGAUGAAUCAGGUGGUGUUUCCUCAAGUUGCUCCACGCAUACAUGAAAAUCUGCAGCAGCAUUAGCUGCUGAAUUUUGCAGUGCACCAUAGUCCCCAGACCUGACCUUCUCUUUUGCUUCCUUGAGAGCAGCAAUGGCUUCACUGUAAGGCCUCAGACAUUUACUAAUUGCACACUUCACUUGAGGGUCGUCUGCUAGUUUUUGCCACUUGGGAAUCUGCUGUCUGGUCUUUGUGGCAUUAGAAAAUGCGACAUCUAUAGUGCCCUCGGCAAGGCCGAGAAGGAGGGACUUGAUCACAACCGGAUUAGAACCAAGAAAGUCUUUACAAAAGGAGCGACUCAAGACAUUGAAGUUGGAGCAAAUAUCCUUGUUUAGGUCAAAAGCAGAGGAGGGAGUAGUACUCAAAAGAACCAUGAAAGACAUUGCAGCAAAGAAAGCAACUGAGGAGGAAGAAGAAGAGGAAACCAUUUUGUGAACUUGUUUUUGGCUUAACUAGCUAGCUUCUGAUCAAUAUGUGGUUGAGUUGAAUGGUAUGAUUUCUGGCACUACCAAAUGGUGUUAUAUAGUACUAGAAUUCAAGUUUUAUAGUCAUUUUUGGAAUUAGAAGGUAUCUCUCAAAGAGCUAAAUUUGCUUAAUGCAGUGGGAGUGGGAGCUGUUACCAUCUACCUUAUUGACUGGCUUUAAACUUUGAUCAGCCUAAGUCACACAUUUUGUUUUGAGCUUUCAUAGUGUCAAACUAUACCAUUAUGACAGGUAGUCAGGUACCAAAAUGAUUGACCAAGUUACCAAGUACCACAACCUACUCCUUGGAAAUAAAAUAAAUUUGUGAUAAACUCUUAGAGAAUGUGUCAAGACGAAUAUUAGAUCACCGCAAUAAUUUUGAUAUAAUCAGAACAUACAAACCACACAUAAAAAAUAAAAUAAAAAUAGAAAUAAAUGAACUUUGAAUCAGAAGCCAAAAUAACAUACAUAACCCAACUUAAAGUGUCAUCAAAUGUUUGACUCAAAUGAAUUAGGAAAUAGGAAUGGAAAUGGUUCAAUGUAUUCGUUAUGUUCAUCGAAAUGAAUUUAGUGUGUACAUAUUCAUUCAAAUUCCACCAUACAAAAUUUCAUGACGUUGAUAGUUAAAAAUAUUUCAAACUUUGAAUUGGUAAUUUAAUUAGGGAUUUGAAUAUAUUUAUUGUGUGGUAUAGUAGCAUAUACAGAGUUAAGGUGUAGGUAAGGUCCAUUUUAUAGGGAGUGUAUAGGGUAACAAAAACACUAUCCUAUCACUCCGUACAAGAACGUAAACUCAAUCCUAGGCAUUGAAUACCAGGAGCUCAAUCCUAGGAUGAACAUCAGCAAUGAACAUAUCACAGCUUUCAUACAAUUAAUCCUGUAAUUUAUUUGCAGUUAUGUAUAUAGCUGAUCUUAUAUAUGGAUCUAAACAGCAAGCAAUCCUGUAUAUAACAACUUCCAUAUGAACGAGAAAAGCAUCAAGCUUAAUUACCUUUCACUUCUGUGUUCUUUCAUUUUCAAACCCUUUUGUCUUGCAAAGAUGAAGAUCGUUUCAAUAUCUAUGCCGCUGCUCACCAUAUUUAUCAUUCAAAUCGUGCUUCUUCCAAUUAGCCAUUGCCGGGCAGAUCUCAUUGACCAAACGUGCAAACAAACUCCCAACUACAAUCUAUGUGUUUCUUCUCUAAAACCGAACCCUCGUAGCUCCGCUGCUAAUGUCAAGGGCCUGGCCACCAUAAUGGUCGAGGUGCUUACUUCCAAGGCAAACGAUACUCUGAACGAAAUAUGGGCGCAGCUUCUUAGGCAGGAAGACCCUGCAGUUAGAAAUUGCUAUGAUCAUUAUGGUUACAUGGUGGCAGCCUUCAUCCCAGAGAUAUAUGGAGAUUUAACUUCAAGGGGUUUUGGUGGUAGGUUUGUACGUUACAACCCUGCACAGGCGGAGCGACGCUUGCACGAUGAUAUUAUCCGACGAGUUGAUCAUUGUCGGCAUGGUUUUGGUAAAGGCCGCCGAUCUCCAUUCGCAAAGGAAAUCAAAGCUACCCGUGAAGCUGCGGUUGUGGCAGCAGCAAUUGUUAGGAUAUUGAUUUGAUGUACUUCGUAACUAUAUAUUUGUGUCAUAUUGUACGUUGGCAUAUUGUAUGGUAUAAUCCAUAUUAAUUUAAGGGUAUUGUAUGCAUUAUUAUUAUUAUUAAUUGUGUCACAUCAACAAAAUUCCAGAUUCAAGGAUGAAAUUAUGUCAUCAAGCGAUUGUGGAAAUUUUAGUUCUAGCAAGUUCACUGUCAUAGAAAUAGGUUCCAAUUUUGCUUGCAAAUCAAUUAACUAAUAACAACAUUACAUCAUGUAAAGCCAGUAAAGGGCACAGCAAUGAUUCCCUUUUUUUUUUUUACUAGCCUUCUUUCCUGACAAAGUAAUUAAGAAGUGAUUUUUUCCUAGUCGACCUAGUAAGGAUGUAUUCCUAGUAUUAUUAGGAAAAAGGGAACUGAGGCAGUCAAGAGUUCUCUAUAAUGAACCCGUCAGACUUGUUACUUGUAUAUCUACAUUGCAAAGCUAUAGCUAGAGAAGCUUUAAACAGACAUGGGGUACUGCUUUGAUCUUUCAGUUUUCAGUACUGUAAUGCUUCUCGAGUUCUAUUGCCAUGGCUCUCUCGCUCAUCUGCGUAAUCAUAAUUUUCCCAUUGUUCUUGUGUAGAAGCUUCAUCACUCCCCUCGUCUUGUUCCCGGCAUCGUUUUAAUCUUAUACAUAGUUGGCUUCGGUGGUCUUCGUCAACUUUGCUUAUAUGUCUUCCUAGUCUUGGAGUAUCUCUUCAUUUCCUUUGUUCUUGGCGCGUUGGCUAGCUGUGUUAGUAAACUUACCCUCUUCGUCGGCACAGUCAAUGAAUUUCCCUCUUUGCUGGCGGUGUUAACAAACUUACCCACUUCUUUCACCGUUCAGUAAUUUGGUUGUUGAAAAGAGCUCAAGAUUGGGGUUCUGAUACGGUGGCGAGAAUGUAAUGAACCCAGCAGAGACCAAAAAUAUGCUAGUAGCCUGGUGCGUAUGUUUGCUUUGUUGUUCUAUUGUAUUAUUUUCUUUCUUUGUUGAAAUUUUAUUGUGUUGAAAUUAUUUGUAACGCAAAACUAAUGAGAUUACAUUCGUUAAUCCUUCUGUUAUUGGCUUCAUUAAGAGCGCAACAAAAUAAAAGAACACAUCAGAAAAGAUAUGGCAGGUGUUUUGGAAACACUUCGGUGAUUUUACUAGUGGUAAAAGUGUAGUAAGAGUAUGGCAAAGGUAAUCCCCCUCAAUUUGAGGUCCAUUUAAUUACCCACUUUUCCUAUACAAAUUGUCUGAAAAGUCUAAUACUAAUACAAGGAUUUCCCAGACCAAAAGAAUACAAAUACAAGGGGAUCUGCUUUUCGAUCAAUAACCACGUGCAGUGGGUAAGUUUGCCACUGCACGUAACUUACCCCCUUCUUUCACCGUUCAUUAAAUGCAUAUCCUCUAAUUAGAGGUAAACUACGUGCAGUGGAACUGUAUUCUCUCCCGCAGCAAUUCAUAGAGCGGCUUACUUAUGCUAUAUCUUGACGUAUUUGAAGUCUCAAACCUACAAAAGUUUAGAGUAUCAACAAAAUUGCAAAAUGAGAUAACAGACCAUAUCGCAACUUUCAAUAGAUGUCAAGGUUGUAGCUUAAGUCAGUUCAGAUUAUACCCUUACCAGCAUUUGGGGGAUUUUUAGGAAGACAAAGGAGAUGAAGUAUAAUGCACAUGAAACAGCUGUGGCUGUAACUAUGUUGUUCACAAGGCGCUUGUUAUCUUUGCUGGGUACAAAUGCUAUUUUCAGUGUAUUUGUCAGGUCAAAAAGUCUGUAAGAGAUCUGCAAACAGUUGAACAAUGAAUAGAUCAGACAAACUUUCUUUUCUUUUCUUUUCUGGUACAAAAUACCAGAUAUUUUCAAGAUUCUAUCAUAUAACAAUAUCUUUACUUACUGCAACAUAGAUGGUAGAAGUAAGCAUGAAGUUCAACAUUGGGUAGUCUGGAAUCAUCGAAAGCAACAACUUUGGCUGAGCAUCAGGAAGUGAUGAUCUGCAAGGUUCAAUAAAAAUCAAUAAGAAAUAUAUCCUUCCUCUAAAGCUUUUAAAACUAUGUCGAAAUGGAAAUGUUCCUUCAAACCAAACAAAGAAACUUUAGUUCGACAACUUCUUAGUGAUUCAAUGCAAAGCUUUGAGAAUAUAUUAUUUCUUAAUAAGAUAAUAAACCCCUUCUUAGCAUUGAACAGAAGAGCAUAUGAAACAUCCGCAUUGUUGAGUGGAGCAUCAAUCAGAUUAGAAUUUACAAUUAGGAAAUUGAUGACCAUUUCCACUUUUGCUAACAUUAAAGAAAUAUUUUUGAAGAUAACAAGGUUAAUCUGUUUGAGUGAGCAGCCAGCUCUGUAAUUAUACAUGUUAUCUACACAUGUGAGCUAAUAUCAACUAGUUUGAAAUUACGGGGAACUUUGCACAUUAUGUCAAACUACUGUAAACUAUCUUUAGGUGCUGGAGGAAUAAUGAUGAAUUUUAGCAUACCUUAACCAGACAUGGAACUGCAAGAUGUAUGUUUCCAGAGUUAUCUUUCCAAGCCAUCUGGUUGUAGGAAAGAAAAAUCACACGCAAUACACAUGACGAUGUAAUUAUAAAGUACAAACUAAAGACUUAAAGCUUCUAAAAUCUGUACGAAUACACCCAAUAGUGUCUGCGGAAAAUAAUACGUCUCCAAUACAGAGAAAAUAGGUUAAAAUAGAUAGAUUAACAUAGUCACUCACGCAAAAAGGGUCAAUGAGUAGCUCCGGAAUUGCUGGGUGACAUUUCGCAAAGUUAUGUAGACCCUGAUUGACAAGGAGAUUCUACAUUAGUAAAGAUAUAAGGUUCUCAAACAGCCCAGCGUUAACAUAUUCCAGUAAAGAUAUCAUACGUUAUAGGAAUCCAUGAGGUAUAAGGAUGAUAUUUAUUGUAAGUGAGCUUGUCCAUCUUGUAGAUAUACUCAAACCACAGAUAUCCCACCUAGGAAUUCAAAUAGCAAUCAGACGGCAUAUAUAUAUGGUAGUUUUAAAAGCAAAAUUUUUCUGAAAAUGGGAACUACCAUACCGUCAAGGCUACUAAAGAAACAGCUGUUUUGAUUGACAUUUUACGCUUCCAUUCUGCUUCCUCCAAUUUCUCCAUCCAUCGCUCCACCUAUACAGAUUGAACUCAAAACAAUGAUUAAAGGAAACAAAUGCAUCCAUACUACACCCAACACCCACUAAAAGUUACAAUUGGACUAGAAAAUAGACAGCUUUUGUUUUUUGUUUUAAAUCCUACCGUUGGAUGAUAGUAAGCAUAAAUCAUUCCAAUAAUCCAUAUGUAACGAUCAAGGCCAGAGCGGAAAUGCCACUCAUGCAAGACAGGAAGAUUUGGUUUUGCAGGAUCUGUGUAAGCUGUAAACAAAAUUGUAUGAUUUAAGUCGGUGACCAGAAAUUUGUUGAAAUGAUAAAUUAACCAUAAAUAAGAAAUUUACCAAGCAGGAAAGUAAAUGGGCUCCAAAGCACUUCAAACACUCCCGGUAUCUCCCAUACCACGAUAACAACCAAGAAGCAAGCAAUGAUUUUCAAAGCUAUCACCGACCCAAUCUCAUUAUACUUGUUCAGAAUACCAAGAGCCCCAUAAACCAUAAGAGUGAAUAGAGUGUGCAUAGGACAGAUGUAGUACAGCACGUAACUGUUGUUGAGGACCACACAGCAAAACAAUACCAAGAAAUUAAGCCGCCACAUCAUCUGUUAAAUAAGAAGGAACAAGAUAUGUUAGAUACAUAAUUUGACAACAAAGUGGACAUAUUUGAGACCUGGGGGAUUGCAUACCUGUGCAAACCUUGCUAGGCUGAAAUCCUUGCGAACAUAGUAAUAAGAAAAGUUUCCAAAUCCAGUCAUCCAGACAUAUCCAGCAAUGAAUACUCGGAUUGCAUUAUAAAAUUCUGCUGCAGCAAAAUAGUGGUACAACAAAAAUAACACCUGAAACAUAGAAGAACACAGAGUAAGACCAUAUUUUACAAGCCCUACAGGCAAUUAGUUUAAUACAUUUAAGCACUUUGACAGUCUGGUAGUUUUAUGCUGAAAAUAACAGGAUUACAAAUUGAAAAAAAACUGCUCCAUAGGUGAUAGAAACAUGCUUUGGUCGCUAUACACCUUCACUAAAGGUUGCUAUCACUGAUAUAGGUUUUCAAUUUUACUAGCGAGUAAUACUUCUAAAAGUAUUGCAUAACCAACGAUCUUGUUCAUCAUACACAAGCCUACAUAUAAUAACACAAACAGAACAAGCUGAAUCCAUGAUCUUAUUCCUAAUAAACAAGCAUUCAUUAUAAAAGAGUACAAGUACAUUACCUGCAUCCAGCCCUUCCACUCCUCAGUUUGAUGCCGAUUCAAAUAUAGUAUGGACUUCCCAGUGAGUGGAGACUUCUCAUUAUGUAUCGUGAAAGAAGUCAUGGCUGAGACUAUGAUGAGAAGGAAGUACAGAAAUAUGAAAAGAUCCCGAUUGUAACUCUGCACAUACAGACCACAGUCAAGAAUCAAGAAAAUAAUUGAAUUUCAAUAUUUUUACUGGUUCUUUCAUAUUGUUAAUUAUUCCAUUUGCAAUACAACUAAGCCUCCUGUAAUCAAACAAGCCCAAUGAAGAUGAUAAAAUAACAGGAUUAAGUCAUCAAUGUCACCUUUGUUGACGAGUUGAAGAAAUCCGUACGAUCACAUAAGUAGAAGUAUGUUAAAAGAGCACUAAAUUCAGAUCUGCACGAAAAAAAAAAAAAAAAAAAAAAAAAAAAAAAACGAAAAAGAACAUAGUUCAUCAUUCUAAUAACCAGAAAAACACAUUUUUCUAUCUCAUCUACUUCACUAAACUCCACUUACAUUGCCCUCAACGUCAACCGAUUUUCGAUCAAGAAAGCUUCAUCCAUCAACAUGAACCUAAACGGACAACAACAACAACAGUAAGCACACAAUACAACAAUCAUGAAUUCACCUUACAAGUUAAACGAUCACCAUUUCCAAACCUGAAAAUAGGCGAGGCGGUAGACGGAGUUCGAGCUCUCGGAGAAGCAGAUUGAAGGCCUCCUCCCUCCAACAACACAGCUCUGUCAUCUUCCUUAACCGCAUCUUUCUCAACUUCAACCAAAUUCACUUCGGAAUACCUACUAGUAUCAAAUUCAAAAUCUCAUUCAGCCACAGACACUAACUUCACUAAAUCACUUUCAUACAUAAUCACAAGCACAAAUACUCUAAAAAAAACAAUUAGAGCUCACAAUUUGGUGGAGAGUGAAUUCUUCUUGUGCUCCAAGAACUCGGAGUAAAUCCAAGCUCCAAGAAUAGGUAAAACUCCAAGCAACAACGAGACCUGCAAUGACACACAGAACUAAAUCGUUACUGUUUCUGAGCCAAAAUCACACAGAUUCAGAAACGCAAGCACUCAAAUCAGAGAAGGAUCCAGAAACGAAGUAGAGGAAAGAGUACCUGGCCGACAGUUAUGGGGCUAAAGAUCUCCAUUUUUGGAGAGGUAGGGAUCAAUGGCGGAGAUCAAAGAGCGAGCAUUUCACAGAUCUCGGAUUUGGCUGAGCAAAUCUAAAUCGAGAUUAUUGGCGGAAUGUAAUUAUUAAUAAUGUGUGGGAAAUAUAGGGGGGUGUUGAUUGAUUGGUGAAGAGGAUGUGGGAAAAAACGAGCGCGUUUUGCAGAGUGGGAUUGAGAUGGAAAGAGAGAAGGAGACGGUGAGUUAAUGAGUCACAACCAUAUGAGUAGGAUGGAAAUAUACAAAUACUCGGCUACUUUUUUUUUAUUUUUCGAAAUAUGAGACGAGACCCUUGUUUUGGUGUGAUAGCGCCAUUUCUUUCAACUAUUAUUCGAUUAAAUCGUCAAUAAAUCAGUAGGUUUUAUUGUUUCUGUUCUAAGCUAAUGAGUGAUGUACGAGAAAAACUGAACAUCUGUAUACGGUUCACUGUUUUGGUCAGAACUGAUCACUAAGCCGUUCAUUGUGGUUACUUUAUAAACAUUUCUUGUCCAAAAUGUCAUAAGAAAUUACAAUUUUGAUCAUGUUCAGGUAAUAAUUGAAAAGAUUUUAGCUAUCUAUCGGUCUAUAUUUGAAUACAAAUAUAACCAUUUCUUAUUUUAUCCAACCGAUAAUGUUAUAAUUUGUACUUUCAUUUUUCGUUAUUCGACGAUUCACUUUAAAAUCAAUACAGUUUACAGUGAUUCGAAUAAUUCACUCGUUAUCCGAUUAAGUAGUUUAAUUAUUUCAAUCUAUCUUUGUUUUAUCCACCUUUUCAUUACUUGAGUUGAAGCAUAUCCCUGUUCUUGCACUAGUUUUUUUUCAAGGAAAAAAAAGAAAGAAAUUACAACUAAAAUCCACAACUCCCUUGUUUUCUAAGGAAGAAUGAUUUCAAAAUUCGAAGUGCUUGUGGAGAGACAUGUGACAUGCCACGUGCAUACUGGCACACGAACUGUAUUGUUAUUUUUGUUUCGAAUGACCAAUGCCGGCGAAACUACUAUUUUUCAUACUACUCCAAAUGGCUCAAAUCGCUUUGCACAGAGUGAAGGGUAUAAUGGUAAUUGACAAUACAACUUUGCGGUGAUGAAUCAUCAACUGCCCCAGUCGGUGCACCCGUAAAUACUCAUCUGCUAAGGGGCACCACAGUAAAAUUAAGGUCAUGAACAAUGUCACGUCACCGGAAUUAAUCUUAAACAUGUAACAGUAAUUUCAUUUACUACUCACCUGGGGUGAUCAAUGAGAGAGGAAACGACGACGUCCCCAAGGGACCAUUUGUCCUCCAGGUCGUCAUCUGUUACAUCAUAUUUACGUAAACAAUGAGUUAUUUACUGAAACCCCAAUAUUAGCCGACAUUACGAAAAUAAAAUACACCAUGACCGACACUGAAGAACGAAGUAUCUCCAAGUCGUAAUCGACCCGAUCCACUAUCAUUAUUCAUUCAAUUUUUUAAUUACCUUGCCUAACCAUUUUGGGACAGUCGUUUGUUUAUUUUUUGUUCUCUUUAUUUUAAUCAUGCUCACAGUGAUAUCUGAUUCCACAUCAAAUUUUCAUUAUAUUUGUUAAAUGCCAAACUCCAUCCAAUUAGUAUUUUACCAAAAAGGUAAAAAUUAGAGCAAUGAAGCACCCAUGGAAUUUUUUUCUUCAACUUUAUAAUUUUCAUAAUGCAUAAAUGCACCCAAAACAAAAACUUAAAUGAAAAAUAAAAAAUAAAUAGUUGAUGGGCAGGAGGGGUAUUGAUAAUCCUUCAGGGGAAGGAUUCAUUAUGCUGCAUUCAUAAUGAGAUGAGAACUACCAACCAAAAAAUGAUGAGCAAAAAGGCCCUACCACAGAAAGCUGCAAUCAACCUAAUAGAUGAUGAAGAUAAGAGUAACAAAAGCUACAAAGUUCAUCCAAGUUCUUUAAAACUCUUACAUAAAUCCUAAACCACCAGACUCUUUCGAAUCAUCCACAUUAACAUAACACUAGAGCAUUAACAGAUGCUGAAUAUAAACCUAAAAACUAUACUGCACCAUGAUUUGGAUAAUACAGCAACAAGAACCAGCACAGAAUUUAGGAAACACAUCCUAAUCCUUCUUUCUACAAACAAGACGAUCAGAUCAUGAGUUUUUAAGAGAUAGAUAGAGAUGAUAGAGUGAGAGUGAGAGAGAGAUUGACCUAGUUGUUAACGGUCAGUCAGUCCUCAAACCAAGAACAAGAUUGGGACCCAGCCCUAUCGCUUGGAGGGUCUCACAUCAUCCUCACCACCAUCAUCGUCGUCGUCAUCGUCUGAAUCGUCCUUGUCUGAUCUCUUUCUCUUUGGCGGAGCCUCAACCUUCCCACCAGUGUCAUCGUCAUCCUCUUCAUCUUCAACAUCUUCAUCCUCUCCAUUCUCUUCAGGUUCAAAAUCACUUGCAUCUUCCUCAUCCUCAGGGCGGGCUACUGGCCUAACAAGGUAUUCAGUCCCAAUGUCAUCCUGUCAAUUUCAAGGUGUCAGUCACGGUUCCAAUAGCAGAUAAUCAUACAUAUAAAAACAAAUGCAUAAUCAAGAAAUGGAAAAAGGGUACUAUCAAUCAAGUACACAACUACUCUACAAAGGCGAUGUAAGGAGAAACUACCAUUCAACCAAUUCAAUUAAAGGACAAAAACAUCCAGCUUUGUUCUUCAAAAAGUUGAUAAUUCACUGUGGGUGGACAAUUCAAUAAUAGAGUAAUUUACUAAAGAUGUUCUUCUUCAUCAAGGAGAAUUAUCUUAGAAAUUGAAAAAUGAAAAAAUCUGAACAUUUUCCCAAUUUAUCAAAUGAGCUAAAGCAAAAAGGAGCAGCAGUGAACUAAAUGACAAAUUUGCAGAAAAGUAAUAUCCAGCUUUCGUCACUUUAAAAUAAAGGGGGAAAAUUUACAAGCAACAAAGACAAUGAGGAGAGGGGAAUUGAAAUUAAUAAAAGUUGCAGAGUGUUCUGUUAACAUGAACAAUUUCACGAGUUAAGGUUUCAUAUGUUUGCCAAAGGCAUAAAAAACAGAAGAAAUAUCCAGAAGGGGAAAUUGAAAAGGUAAACUAUCUGCUCUGCAAUAACUAUUUGUCAUCGUCAAAGUAGUAUUAGAUCUGAAGCUAUAGUCAUAAAGGGCUGUAUAAAAAACAGUUAUAUUAAUACACUAGAUACAAUUGUUUCAGAUCUGAAUACAACUACCUGUCAGCUAAUUCCAUGAAGAAGAAAAAAUAGAAUGAACCCUAGUAAUAGCUAUGAACAGUUUCUGAAGCACAGAGUAUCCAAAAGACUACAUCCAGAUCUAUGUAAAACUGACUGCUAUAGAUCCAUAUAAAAUAGAUCUGGCAAAAAAAAAAAAAAAAACAUUGAGAAUCAACUACAUAUUCACCGACUACAGAAAAAAAGUAGAAAUUCAAUGUUGUUCAUGCUCAACUGAACUUUCAGAUCAAAAAGCAGUGAAAUCAGAUCAAUUAAUUCCAUAUAAUAAAAUUUAAAAAAAAUAGUACCAGAUCUGAAAAUUUCAAACCAGAAAGUACUGAAAGCUACUUUAUCAAAUUGAAAAUAAAAAAGGAGGAGGAGAAGAUUCGUCUAAUUACCUCAUCCUCGCCCUCGCCGUCGUCGUCAUCGUCGUCGUCAUCCCCCUCACCGUCGUCGUCGUCGCCGCCGCCUUCAGCGUCUUCCUCGUCUUCUUCAUCCUCGUCGUCGUCGUCGUCAAUUGACUGAACCGGAGGGCCACCAGAGGACUGAACGACCUCCUGGACGUCGUCGUCGUCGUCCUCUUCAUCCUCCUCAUCGUCGUCGUCAUCCCCGUCGUCGUCGUCGUCGUCAUCCUCAUCUUCGUCGCCGUCCUCUUCCUCGUCUUCGAGGGCGUCGUCGGAGUCAGAGUCGGAGGACUCGGAGACGGACUCGUACUGCUCCAAUUCCUCGGCAGUCAAAGGCUUCACUUCGUUUUCCUCCACAACUUCCUCCAUAAUCUUCAUCUCUCCCAAUUUCAGAGAAAAUUUGCAGAGAAUUUUGGUGUUUGUUUUCUGGAAAAUAACCGAAUUGGGGAGUUGGAUUAUAGAGAGAGUGAGAUAGAGAGAGAGAAGGAACGAGAGAGAGAGAGGGGAGCUUCUUGGUUCGCUCUACCAGUAGCUCUGCAAGCCAGUGAUCUCAGCCGUUCAAAAGCGGGUUCACGCGGAUCCGUGACGUGGUGGGAGAUCGGACGGUUAUCGUUGGCCUGUAUGUAUUUUUGUGCUUAUAGGGCUCCUGCGGCGCUUCAUGUUGGUUACCUCAUCACACGUGCGAGGGACGCGUGCGACGUUCACGUCUGUAACCCUAGGGUUUUCUUUAUCUGGAUAGUGGGUCGACAUGUGGUUGGGUCGGGUCGGGUCGGGUCGGUACCUGAUAGCCUGUUAAAUAAUUUCGGGUUGAUACCCGAAAUCGGAAAUCUGACCCGAAUAAGGAGAUGUUAGUGUCCUUAGUGAAUCUCACAUUGAAAAGCAUAGACUUUGCAAUUGUGUUAUAAGGAUUUAUGCGUCUCUAACAAUUGUGAGUGAUCAGAGCAACCUAAUUGUGAGGGAGGGUUCAAGAUUGAAUGAAAUGUCCUUCCUAUUCAAACUAUCAAUAUCUCCAUUGUUACUUUCUUCUUACAUCUCCCUUCUCAAUAGGAUUGUUGAAUAUGAAUGAGGAGUGACUCCAUAUUUUUGAGGAUGAUUACCAUAUUAUUCAUGAACUUGAUAUAUUUAAUGGAAAUGACUCAAUUUAUUUUUAUUUUGUUUUACUCUUCAUAAGUUUUCAACCUUGAUGAAAUAGAAUACAAGUUACUUCUCAAUAGGAUUUGUUGUUGAUCUUUUUUGCCUUUCAAAAAAUCAAAAAUAAAGAAAAAUCUACUUGCUUUGAGGUCAAGAAAGAUGCAAUUGUCCAUUCAAUCUAGAAUUUUAAAACUUCAUUGUCUAAGUACAUCAUCAAGGACACUAAGCAGCCUAACCUAACCAAUCGAAGAACCCAACACGUUAACAACUUGUUACAAAUACCACACUUUAUGUUAUAUAAUAUUUGCAAGAAAAGUGUAUAUAUAUACAGUCCCCUUCCAGAAAGAGAUCCCUCUUUAAAAUUAAAGUGCGUGACUCCUUAUUUCACUCACUUUCAAGUCGUAUUCCCACAUCUCAACCGUAUAAUGUCUAAAACACAGUGUGUAGAUCAUUCCUACAAAGUUUCAUCAAAUUUGAAGAUCAUUUGAGCUUCCGUAAUCGUAAUUUACAUGAACGGUUUUGUUUGGACAAUUUUUGUUCUGUUGAUUUAUUUAAUCUAAUUCGGUACCCAAAUGAUCUUCAAAUUUGAAGAAACUUUGCAAGAAUGAUCUACACACUGUGUUUUAGACAUUGUACGGUUGAGAUGUGGGAAUACGACCUGAAAAUGAGCGAAAUAAGGAGUCCCGCACUUUAAUUUCAAAGAGGGAUCUCUCUCUGGAAGGGGAUUGUGUGUGUAUAUAUAUAUAUACAGCCCCCUUCCAUUGAGGGAUCCUUAUUUUUGGCCACUUUCUAGGGAUAGGGCAUUACACCACUUCCCAAUUGAAUUUUUACAUCUCCACCAUUCAUAUCUUAGGUCUAUAUGAGUAGAUUACCUCUACAAAAUUUCAUAUGAUUUGGUGAUCGUUAAGACUUUCAAAAGUUUGNNNNNNNNNNNNNNNNNNNNNNNNNNNNNNNNNNNNNNNNNNNNNNNNNNNNNNNNNNNNNNNNNNNNNNNNNNNNNNNNNNNNNNNNNNNNNNNNNNNNNNNNNNNNNNNNNNNNNNNNNNNNNNNNNNNNNNNNNNNNNNNNNNNNNNNNNNNNNNNNNNNNNNNNNNNNNNNNNNNNNNNNNNNNNNNNNNNNNNNNNNNNNNNNNNNNNNNNNNNNNNNNNNNNNNNNNNNNNNNNNNNNNNNNNNNNNNNNNNNNNNNNNNNNNNNNNNNNNNNNNNNNNNNNNNNNNNNNNNNNNNNNNNNNNNNNNNNNNNNNNNNNNNNNNNNNNNNNNNNNNNNANANANANANAGANAAAANAAAAAAAAAAAAAAAAAAAAAAAUUACUACAAUCAAAUAAACAUGGAGAUCAAUUUGUUCACCUACAAGUCAGCUACCAUAUGAGGGCCAUCAAAAUCGACCUUCCCUUCAAACAGUGAUCGGCAACUGUUAAUAUACCUCUACCAAAAUCCAAGCUCUAACCAAUAAGAAUAUAAGAUUGCUUCACUUUCUGCCAGCUCCCAGGAGCUUCCAGCAUUGGAAUUUAGUCAUUUUAGUUUCAUAUAAAAUGGGAAAAGAGAUGGAGAGAAAGAACUAGAUGCCUAUCCCCACAUAUAUAUGCUUACGACCCUGUCAUAGAGUAGAAUCUGUAUAUCACUUUAUAACAAGUCGGAUUAUUUUAGCACCCGAUUGGCAACAGGGUCAAUCAUACUUAGCUGGAACACGUGUCUAUGCAGAUAUAUAUGCCCUAAAUCCAUAUUUCAACACAUAUCUAACUAAAAAACCUCACCAGAAAGCAUAUCGUACUUUCUUUGAUUCCAUAGUUCCAGCUUUGAGGGAUGCUAGGGAGAUAUUAAGCAACGUUUCUGAGAUUCAAGGUGAAGAUCAUCGGUGAUGGCGGCGUGGUUCUCCACAGCUUUCCGGUGGCUGGAAGAGCUGGAUCUCUCGUUGCCGUCAGCUGGAAGUUUCAGGUGGCCGGGAGUGUUUGAUUUCUCCUACUUUACUACGGGGUGGAACUUGAACUUUUCGAGCUUCAGGAUAUGGUUUAAUUUUUCGAUAGUUGAUGAUGUGCUGUGGACCUUGGUGACUGUGGUGGAGUCCUUGGCUUUGGCUGCCAUGCUCUGCUUCUUCUUCCUCUUCUGUGGUUGUACUCUCUGAUUCUUUGAGCCCUUUUAUGUUUUGUACGCCUUAGCUUCUUAGAUGCAUAGAAGUAGAUUGUACAUGUCUUGGUAUAUAUGAUUUUUAUUUUUGGUGUUGGUGAAAUCUGGUAACAGAGUGAAACAGGCAUACAUGUUAUGAUUAUGGGUUGAGUUAAUACUGGACUUGAUUUUACUUAUUGCAUUGGCUUUGGAAUUUGGUUAGAAAACAGCAUUUUCCGGCUAGCUCUUUAGCAGCUGUGUUCAAAUUUGCUUCAGAAUUUUGUGACAGUUUCUAUAGAUUAGUAGAUAAAGAAUACAUUUCUAGCGAUUUAUACUUGUUCUGCUGCUUCAUAACAACUAUGAACUUCAACAAUGUCGGUUCCUCAAGUUGGUAGUGUUACUUGAAGUUUUGAUCAGCUUUUAGUUCUGGAAUUUAAAGAGCAAUUUCAUUAGGCCCUCUUGCUUAAUUUGCAGUUCUGCAAUGGUAGGGGGUCUAAUGAUAGAUGAGCUUUCUCUAAAGUUGUAAUGCACUAAUGCAUGCUCAUCGUUUUACCAAAGCUAAUUAUAGCUAUCAGUCACACUCUGCCUCCAAAACAGGGGAAAGCUGAAAACUUUUCCCUAAUUUUGGUUCGCACAUGUUAUUAAAGAUUCAGAAUUAAGAAUUAACUCAUUUUAUUUCCUUUAUCCUUUCUUCUUCUUCUUUUUUUUGAAAGGAUGCUUUCUUCAAUUUGGAAGAGAGUCAAAUGAAUUACCAUUACUGUAAGAAAAUCCCUAAGGAUGUGAUUUUAUUAGGUCAUUAAAACAUAUCCCACUUUCGGUUAUUCACAAAAUGAACGUUCUCAUCUCAGCUCUUUGACCAUGUUCAAUGAAAUCUGAUAUGGCCGGUCAGAAGAGAAGAUUUUUUUUUUAAAACGUAUCAAUGGAAACUUAUAUACAACACAUUCUACUCCAGCAUAUAAACGGACGAUUGAAACCUUCAGUUUCACAUAUUAACCAUCUCAAUACAAGAAAAAGCAUCAACUUCUCAAACACUUUGAUCCUGCAAAGAUGAUGAAGAGAAAUUCAAUAUAUGUAGCAGCUCUCGUUCUUGUCAUUCAAUCUGUGUUUGUUCCAAUAAGCCAUGGCGAUGCCAAUCUCAUUGAACAAACAUGUAGACAAACACCGUAUCACGAUCUUUGUGUCUCUUCUCUCAAAGCACACCCUCUCAGCGCCAGCGCAGAUGUCACAGGCUUGGCUCUCAUAAUGGUGGAUGUUGUGAAGGCCAAGGCAACUGAAUGUGCGAACAAGAUAAACCAUUUGCUUAAGCAAAGGCCUGGAGACCAAGCCUUAAGCUCUUGCAAGAGCAAUUACAACGGAGUUUUAGUUGCUGAUGUCCCUGUUGCGAUUGAAGCUUUAACCAAAGGUGACCCUAAGUUUGCAGAGCAAGGCAUGGACGACACCGUCAUCGAGGCUAAGUCGUGUGAAGAUUACUUUUCAGGGCGUUCUCCUAUGACAGAUUUAAACAACGCUUCUCAGAAACUUGGAGCUGUGGCUGCAGCAAUUGUGAGAUUGUUGCUUUGAUAUCUAUCUAGCUUGUUUGAUAUUAUGUGACAGUAAUAAUUAAUAAAAGGUUCUGAAAUCUGCACACCCGUUUUUAUAAACCACACGUCCUUUCUCUCUUUAGUUCAUCAAAAUUUCAAAUUUACCCCUAAAAUGUUCUUGUAUUUUCUUGCCACUGGUCAAAGUUCACACCAGACCAAACUUCUCUAUCUAUACCCCAGUUGGAGACUAGGAGUUCUACAGCGGAUCUACUACAACUAUAGGUAUGUUGAGUGAUUGAACACAACAAAUCUUUCCUUUGUUUUCUCUCCCUCGUAAUUUUUCACAAAACCAAACACACAGCAAUUAACCAGGACUCCCAAAUCGAAAGCCAGCGCAACCAAAAGCCACUCCUCUUCUUCUUCAAUUCCCUCAAUGGGUUUUGCAUGAGCAGUCUUCCAAAAACCCCAAAAUAUCUCUCAAUUUACGCCAAUUUCGUUGAUUUUAAUUCUUUAAUUGAAAGGGCAGCUUCAGAGCAACCCAUAAAGUUUUGCCAUGGCUGAGAGAGUGAGAGUACUACCCGUAGCUCCGAAGUAUCACCUGAUUUGGGUCGAGCUCCAAUUAUUGAAUGCCUGCAUUUUCAAGAUCGAGACCCAAAUAAUGCAAAAUUAAGGAGUAUAUCAUCUUCGAUCGAGUAUAUGAUGACCACGCCACAUGCAGAACCCGACCACAAACAAAUCUGUCCCACUAAUCCAAUACAGUUGAUCUUGUAAUUGUCUCCAAUUAAGCUCUAGCAGCCUCUCACUACUCCAGCCCUUCCGAUGGCUUCUACAUAACCUCAUCUGAUGUCAUCCCCCGACUGAUUUUCUAGGACCCCGACGGCGUUGAUGUUUACCAUCUCGCCGACCCAAAUGAAUUAAACCUAACGAUUCCAAUCGGAUUUUCGUAAUCAUAAUCAAUCUAGGUCGAUCAUUUGUUUUUUUUUUUUUUUUUUUUUUUUAAGAAUAAGAACUUUCAUUGAUGAUAGAUUAGAUAGACACAUCAAUGUUAAGUACAUCGGAAAACCAUUGUGGUCCGUCCUCUACCUAAAAUUGAAAUACAGGAAACAAAAAGUGUAUUUAACCAAAGCAUGUGUUGCCUGAUUGCAUUUUGAAUUGAAAUUUAUUUAGUCCUUGUGGUUUGAAGUCGACAUUUGUUUAGUCCUUGUGGUUUUAUUUUAAUCUGAAUAGUCCUUAAAGUCAUAAUUUUUCAUCCAAAUAGUCCUUAUGGUUUUAUUUUAAUCUGAAUAGUCCUUAAAGUCAUAAUUUUUCAUCCAUAUAGUCUUUCCGACAAUUUUCUCAGUUAAAGGCCAUAAGGACUAUUUGGAUGAAAAAUCAUGACUUUAAGAACUAUUCAGAUUAAAAUAAAACUAUAAAGACUAAACAGAUGUCGACUUUAAACCAUAAGGACUAUACAAUAUUUUACCUUAUAUUUUCUUGGGCCAUAUGUACAUAGAACAAAAGAGAAAAGGUGAAACAUGUUUGACACCUCUUCAAGUAACAUACCCUCCACAGACCAAUCAUCCUUUGGUUUGCAAAGAACAUUAACAACAGAUAAAGCAUAUGAUUCCAAAAUGAGAUCAAAGGUGCGGUAACCUGACUGUGAAAGCACUUGUAAUCCCAAAGCUGCAUAAAUUUCAGCAGCCUUAACUCUAAAUCGUCCAUGAAAACCCUUUGAAACAGCUAGCAAGAGAUCGAUCACCAUUUUCAUUAUGUAAUACUGCACCCAUUCCUCUUACACCAUGUUCAUCAUUCAAAGCAGCAUCCACAUUUAAUUUGAGAAAAUGAAAAUUGGGUUUAACCCAUCUAGCAUGAGAACCUGUGGGAACAGAUUGCCAAUCAUAUAAUUUUGUUUUCUGGGUACAUAAUCCCAAACAAAUAUUCUCUCACGGCUCCAUGAAAUACAGAGCUCCUCAUACCGAAACUCAGUGGCGGACACAGGAAAAUAUUUCUCUGGGGGCAAAUUUUAUGUAACUCAUUUAUGAACAAAUUUUCACCAAAACAACAAUAGCAUACAACUUCAUGUAACUAAAAGAAAAAGAAAGAAAAGAACAUGGACUUCUAAAUAUACAGGAGAUGUAAAGUGCAUUAAAGUAAUCCAAAUAUAUCUCAUACAUAGACUAAAGACUACCAUGCUCAGCUCAUCAACUUAGAAAAAACAAAUAGAAUUUGGGGAUUUUUGGACUCUUAUGCUUUGGGAUUUUGGACGAUAAACGAAGAAAACAGAGAAUAUAAAAGGUUUUGGGCUUACAAAUAUAACAAUUACAAUCACAUAGCACAAAAAUAUAAUUAAGUGGGAUGAGAUGCGGUAAAAUACCUGCAUAACCGCUAAAGAAAAACAAGUGAAAAAAAACUGAACAUGGUGUCAAGUGUUAAAAUCCGAGUGGGGGAAGUGGCCCUUGUUGGCCCCCCACUGUGUCCGCCAUUGUCAAAACCUAGGGUUUCGAGCAUAAUACCGACGACAAUCUAUGAUCGGGCCGCUUAGAGGAUGUCUUUCCGAUGUCAAGUGUGUGUCAAGUGGGAAGGCGCAUUAUUAACGCUGCCUUCGACGUAAUGGUGUCUAUUGAGAGCGGACACGAACUAAUAAGGGCGUUGGGCCUUGAUUCAGCUAUGGUGCCAGGCUUGCUACUUAAUUUGAGUCUAGGCUUUGGGUCGAGUCACUAGGUUUGAGUCAACUUGGGUUGAAUGUUGUUGGGCAUCUUAGCUACUUUCCCUGGAGAUGCCUCCUCUACGUAGGAGGGUCCUAGGUGUUUUCUUGAAUAAGUUGGAUGAUUUGGACAUUUACCGUUACACUACAAGGUUAGCAGCAUUAAGAUAGCUUAUGUAUAUACAGGUUGUUUUACAUGAUUAAAUUUUUACGUAACUCGCGAUGGUCCUAGCCUCCUAGGUGUUUUCUUGAUUAAUAAGUUGGAUGAUUUGGACAUUUACUGUUACACUACAAGGUUAGCAGCAUUAAGAUAGCUUAUGUAUAUACAAGUUGUUUUGCAUGAUUAAAUUUUUACGUAACUCGUGAAUGUGGAUUAUGUUUAUGUUUGAAGUCACAUUUUCACAUCUCCACCAUUCAGUUUCUAGAACAUAGUGUGUAGAUAGUGUGUAGAUCAUUCCUGCAAAGUUUCAUCCAAUUUGGAGAUCAUUUUGGUACCGAAUUAGAUUAAAUGAAUCAACUGAACAAAAUAUGUCCAAGCGGAACCGUUCGUAUAAAUCACAAUUACAGAAACUCAAAUAAUCUCCAAAUUAGAUGAAACUUUGCAGGAAUGAUCUAUACACUAUGUUUUCGACACUGAAUGGUAGAGAUGUGAAAAUGUGAUUUAAAAAUAAGCGAAAUGAGGAGCACCACACUUUAAUUUCAACCGCUCUAGAAGGGAACUAUAUAUAUAUAUAUAUAUAUAUACAGCCCUUCUCGGCUGCGGAUUGGUGCAGAUUUCUAUUUUUGCACCACUUUUCGAUCGAAUUUCCUCAUCUCCACCGUCUAGUAUCUAGAUAAUAUUGUGUAGAUCAUCUAUGCAAAAUUUCAACCAAUUUGGUGAUCGUUAAGACCCUCAAAAUUGUGUUUUUCUGGUGUAUAUAAACAUAAACCGGACAGAAUUCAGUGCGUCCAUUUGUUUUUAGAUUUGAGGGCCUUAAUGAUUACCAAAUUGACUGAAAUUUUACAGAGAUGAUCUACACAAUAUUAUCUAGAUACUAGACGGUGGAGAUGAGGAAAUUCGAUCGAAAAGUGGUGCAAAAAUGGAAAUCCGCACCAAAACUUUGGUGCGGACGUUCGUAGCUGAGAAAAAUUGUAUAUAUAUAUUUAUAUAUAUAUAUAUAUAUAUAUACAACGCUUCUCAGCUGCGGACGUUCGCAUUUAUUCUUACGGUGCGGAUUUCCACUUUACACUCAUUUUUCAAUCGAAUUUUCACAUCUCCACCGUCUAGUAUUUAGAUACUAAUGUAUAGAUCAUCUCUGCGACCCAUAAUUGUUAGGUUCUGAGUUCGAUUAUUGAGUCUUAUUGCAAGGCAUCGGGUCAGUCAAUCAACUUUGACAAAUCUUCAUUGUUCUUCUCCAAAAACACCCCCACUGAUGCUCAAGACAGUAUUGCGAGGGUUCUCAACAUCCCUAUUGCUUCAGAGCCUGGAGUGUAUCUUGGCCUUCCUACUCAUUGGGGAAACUCAAAACGAGAGGCACUCACUUAUAUAAGGGAACGGAUCCAAGUAAAGUUUGAUGGCUGGCAAGCCAACGUUCUAUCCUAAUCUGGAAGAAAGGUUCUCAUCAAAGCAGUGGCGAUGGCUGUUCCGGCAUAUCCAAUGUCUAUUUUCCUCAUGCCAAUCACUCUGUGCAAUACAAUCAAUUCAGACAUCUCCAAAUUCUGAUGGGGGUACACUGAAUCAAAAGAGAAAAUCCAUUGGAAAGCUUGGAAAUCUUUAUGCAAAAAUAAGGCUGAUGGUGGACUGGGAUUCAAGGACCUCCAUACUUACAACUUGGCGCUGCUUUCCAAGCAAUGUUGGAGACUGAUCAAGAAUCCUAAUUCAUUAUGGGGAAGAAUUGUGAAAGCUUGUUACUUCCAUAACUCCUCUUUCUUGAAUGCUAAGAAAGGUGCUAGACCAUCAUGGGUUUGGAAUAGUCUUUUGACUGGCAGAUAAACUAUUAGCAAACAUGUUCUUUGGAAAGUUCGGAAUGGGAAGAGCAUUGAUGUCUGGGCUGAUAGGUGGGUGCCAAAUUGCAAUGGUGGAAAAAUCAUCCCCACAGACACCUCUAACAGGUUCACCCCGCUGCUAGUUUCUGAGGUCAUUGAUGAUAAUGGUGAUUGGAAUAUUUCACACAUUGAGCCUUUUAUUCAAGAGAGUGAUGGCAAAGCUAUUAAGGCCAUUCCGAUUGGUACAGUGGAUGAGGAGGAUAUUAUGAUCGGGCCUCACUCCAAAAAUGGGAUGUAUUCAGUUAAAUCGAGCUACCAUAGACUUUUCUCAGCUCUAGAAGACGUAAAAUCACAGAGCAAGCCUUCCUCCUCUCACCAAACCGAUGGUAAAGUUUGGAAAAUUAUAUGAAGACCAAAUUUGAUGUCGAAAAUCUCAAAUUUCUUGUGGCGGCCUCUGACGGAUUCUCUUGCUACUUGUUGGAGUUUGUUUAAGAGAAAAGUGGUUAAGUCUCCUAUUUGCUCAAUCUGUGGUGAGCAACUCGAGACAACUGAGCAUUGUCUUCUUCUUUGCAACUGGACCUCAGCAGUUUGGUUCGGCUCUUCCCUUAAUUAUGCUUUGGAUAGGGGAAGGAUUAGAACCUUAGAUAACUGGCUCAUGGAGGUGCAUCAAAACAGAAACUCUCUGCUAUUGGGUGAUAAUGAUAUGUUUUCUUAUGUUUGCCUUCAUCUGUGGGAGAUUUGGAAACAUAGAUGUGAAGUGGUUAUGAAGGGAGGUGAGCCAAAUCCUGCCAUGGUUAUUGAUAAAGUCAACAGGAGCUAUGCACACUGGAUGGAGGCCAAGUCUAUUGAAGAGAAUGAUGAAAAUGGGCUCUCAAACCAAGCUCGAUGUGAUUUGUGGUGUCCCCCUCUUCCUUCUGAGGUAAAAAUCAACAUUGAUGGUGCUUGGAAGUCCUCGAACCUCACUAGUGGGAUAGGUAUCAUUGUGAGGAACUAUAGAAGGUCUUCCAUUGCUGGGGCAAGUCUGCAUGGCUCUCACAACUCAGCAAUGGAGGUGGAGGCAGAUGCUGCUCUUAGAGCCCUCCAACUUGCUGCCCACCUCCGUUUGCAGAAUAUAGUGAUUGAAAGUGACUGUCAAGACAUCAUCAAGACUUUAAACAGCUACCCUCUGACAACCAGCUGGAAAAUCUCCCCCAUUAUUAGUAAGAUAAUGCAUCUGAAGCCAAUGUUCAAGGGAUUGAGAUGGAAUUGGAUUCCUAGAAAGGCAAACCGUGUGGCUGAUGCCGCGGCUAAGCUUGCCAAGUUGAGAUUGUGAUUCCCAGGAAUUGGGGUCUAAAACCUAGGCCCCCCAAUCUCUCUGCUUUCUGUUUUAAGGNNNNNNNNNNNNNNNNNNNNUUUAUUUUAGGAGUUAGAGUGAGGGUCUCGACCAUAUAGAUCUACUUAGUUGAUUUAUCUAUGUGACAGUAUACAUGGGACUUAUAGAUUACUAAGAAAAAUAUAUAAAACUCAAAUAUCAAUUAAAAAGAAAGUAAAUUCAAACAAAAGAAUAUCGAUUGACAUUUUAAUCUGUAAUUUUUUUCUUUCUCUUUUUAGAGUCUUUUAGGCCCCGUUUGUAACCAAGAAAAAAAAAAUAUCGAUUGACAUACGCGAACAUUGUGUUUUAUUGAGCUAGUAAACUAGUAAACCAAUACAGUAAAUGGUGAAUACAUCAAAUGAGCAUGUUUUAAUUCAGCUAGUGAAACAGUACGUUAACAAUGAUUACAUCAAUUAAAUCUUGCUUGAUAAUGCUGCAGCCACAGAAGCGAAAUCUUUUACAGCAUUGUUCCACUUAGUUAGAAGAGAACGGCCGUGAAAACCACGUUCGCAUGAAUCAGCCUUACCAACAACGUCAUUCAUGAGUUGCGUCGCCUUGCCGGCAUCUCCGCCCUUAGCCGCAUCCUCGGCUUGGGGUAUGUCAUCUCGAACAACGACAACAUAAUUUUCUCGACAAUCACUUACAGGUUUGGUUUUACUUAGCCGACCGAUCUGUUGCAUGGCAUCAGAUGCCUUAACUUCGACUUCACCGACCAUUAUAAAGGCAAAAUCAUUCACAUCACCCCCUUCACUUCGGGGGUCUGCUCUGAGAACGGAGACACAGAGGACGGGCUUUGGUGUCCCUUUGCAUGUGUCAUCAAUAAGAUCGUUGCAAUGACUCGUUCGAACAAAGGUGCUUUGAAUCAAAAAUAUGAAUACCACUAUUAGAGAUGUUGAUUACUUCAUCUUUAUGAUGUUGUGGGGAAAUUUUGAUAUACUAUCUACCUGAGCUCAUACUUCAUAUAUAGGGGUGCAAGUAAUUAAACUUGCCAAUAAAUCUCAUCGGAUUUAUGAUUAUUAUUUUUUUGAGGGGAUUUAUGUUUAUUAUUUGUCCUAUAAGAAAUUUGUAGACUAAACCUAUGUGUCAUGCCACAUAAAUAAAAAUAUUAAUUUCCAAUUCUUCAUAAUAUAUCUUACCAUCAUAAUAUUGCAUUCAUAUCACUAUCCAAAAAGACUGUGUUACCCCUUAAUGCAAAUUUAUUUACAAAUGUUCAAUUGUUCUGAUUAAAAAGACGUUUGUGUCAUUGAAAACUUUGUUACUUCUUUAUUUUUCAUUUUAUACUUGGUUGUGGGCAUGGGGUCAGAGGUGUCCAUGGUGGGUUUUGGCACAGGGAAGGCCAUGGUAUGGUGGUGGAAUUGAAAAAGAAUGGUAGAGGCUAUGAGGUUGAUGGUGAAUUUUGUGCAGGUGGCGGAAUAGGAGGUGGUAGAAUUAGAGGUGAGCGGUGGAUUUUGCAGGCAUGGAGGCCAUGAUGUUGGUGGUGAAUUUGGGGAAGAUAGAUGUGUUUGUGGAAAAAUAGGGGAAGACGAGAGAAUCGGCGAUAGAUUUAGAAAAUGUGGUGGCAUGGGAGGCGUGAGAUGGGGAUUAAAUAUUGUUCAUCAUCAAGAAAUCUUAACACGUAACAAUGCGCGGGUGGUAUCUAAAGCACUGUUAGACAUGUUUUAUUUACUAGUGCAUAUAUAUAUUCAUUACUAUUUCGUCUUUCGAAAGCAUCUAAGAAAGCAGGAGACAUGUAUAAAAUGAUUAGCUUAAGGCUUUUGAGUCUUGUUAUGUCAGUUUGGUCAGAUAAUCAGCAUUUCUCCAUUGUCUUUGCAUUAUCUUUGCUUUCUCUACAACAUUGUGAAGUGCUACGAAUUGUAGAGAUUGAAUCGAAGCUAUUGGAUGCUACAAAUUUUAGUAGCUCUUGAUAAUAACUUACUCUUUUACCAAAUUUUUUCUCGAUGUAAACAAGGGCUCAUUUUUUCUCUCUCGACUUGUUCCGUAUAAGUAGGAACUAGGCUUCGCAAAAGAAAAUUUUCUCUCCUUCUCGUCCAGCUGCGCUGGGGCGUUGGCGCCGAUCUUUGGUUUUGCCGACGUCUGAUCGCUGUGGUUGGAUGAAAUUUACUGAUUGAUGGAUGUGGUCCAGGCUCAGAGGACAAGAAUGGAGAGGUCCUUUCUCAGCCUUAGUCAAUUUGGGACGACGACUGCUGCAUCCUUGUUUGGGGGGCCGCCAUGGAUUAGAAAUGGAUCGGUUAUAUACCGGGUUAUGUCGGCGGAUUGCGACAGUAAGGGGUCUUUGGUACACGAUGAUUUUUGGAUCGGAUCAGCGGCCUAUCGGGAAGGAUAUUGGGGAUAACUUGGUGGAUCCAGGUUCGGCUCUGCUUUAUGGGUUUGAUGAAUUUGUAAACUAUUUUAUAAGAUAUUGAUGGCUUGAGAGUGAGAGGAGCAUAGCGAAUUUCUUGAGCUUCGAUCCUCUAAACUUCUAGAGGGGUCUUUAUGGAAGGAAGAGUGUCUUACAUCCCUUGUGGAAGUUGCACUCCUUAUAGGUGAUAAGGCUUAAGUAGGUGUCACACCCCAAUUUUUUUUAGAAAAUAUAUAUAUAUUUUUGUUUUUGAGAAAAGUUCACCAAUGGUCUCCCAACUCUUGUGUCAAAGUCAAAAUGAUACCUGAACUUUCAAAAUGAUCAAUGUAGUACCUAUACUUUUAAUUUGCUAUUAGUGAGAUACCUCCGUUAUCUUUUAGUAAUUAUUCUGUUAAGUUUUUUUUUUUAAUUUUUUAUUUUUUAUUCUACCUUACUUUAUGAACUUAUAAUUUUCUUUCUAAGAACUAGCCUUCAACAUGCCAAUAUUUCACCUAACGACCUCCUGUCUAAAUAGUUACUAAUAUGGCGGAAUCACUGCUGCCUUGGAAAGGAAAAACUUAGAUCUUAAAAACAAAGUAUUUAUAAAGCAGAAUAAGACAAGCACACACGCAGAUUUAAUAUUUAACACUUAAUAUUUUCGUGACGAAUUAUAGGGCACUAGAUAGGAUUUAUUUAUACCAACAUAAAUACAAAUACAAAACCCAGAGCCUUCCUCUCAGAUAAACAGCUAAAAGCUGUUUAGUUAUUCAUGCUUAUAGUUACAGGAUAAACACUUACUUGUAAACACAACACUCCACACCAGAAGAUUACAACACACCACACAAUAAGCACUCUAAUAUUCUCACACUAUACUAAAGACUGUAUUCUGGCUAUCUUACUUCUUGAGAAAGGUUGAGAGAUCUUUGAACUUCUAUCUCAAGUUUUCUCUCGAUUGCCUUCUCAAAGACGCAUAAGGCCCCUUUUAUAGGGAGCAGACUUCAAACAAGAAAUAAAACACACCUAUACAAAGUGGAGGACCAGAGGAAUCUAAUCCUGAUAACUUUACUUUUGAAAAAGUAAAGUCGUUUGUCUUCAUGCGUUGGCAGCCACUCAGCUUCUUUUGAAAAGAAAAGAUGAUUGUCUUGAUGCGUCGGCAACCGUUCAUUUUUCCAACAUAUUUAUUAUGUUGUGAUAUUCUUCUGGAUCUUCCUCAUAUCAUGUUGAAGAGUUAGGACCACUGUUUUCCCAAUCAAGUGCAGUGUCAUCUCCUCUUUCAUCCAGAUCUGAAUCAAAAGGAUAAGAAAUCUUAUACUUUUCAUUCUUCUCAACUUUUUCUAGCCAUGUGGUGGUAGCCAGAGUGCAAUCAAUUUCUUUCCUCAUAAGAUCUGUGAAAAAGUCACAGUUCUCUGGUGGAUGAUGAUUAUAGCAAGUGACCAUUAUUUUUUCUCCACUUGCCAAAAGACUUGAAUCAUAGUCUCUUAAGACCACAUCUUUGAUAAUGGCUAUUGCCAUAUUGCCAUAGCCUUCAUCCAUGAGAUGCUUUGAUUUGGUCUACUAUUGCCACUUGCAACGGCUGGUUUCUGAACAGGACUUUAGAUUAUCUUGACAAAAUGAUAAGGAGAGAUGUAAUUUGUCUGCCCAUCUACUACCGUCCAUUCUGGGGGAGUAGAGAUGAAUUUUAAUCUCAAAAUACAUCCAUCAGAUCUAAUUUUCUUAACAGCUUCAGCUAUUAUAUCUGGAAAUCCGUUCAGAUCUUCAUUAGUUUUUGUCCAAAGGUUAUGAACAAAUCCAUUUUCCACGAGCCACAACUUAUGUUUUUGAGGAUGCUCUGCUUGAACAUCAACCAAGUAUCUCCCAUAAUAUGGGCCAGGAACUACUGAUAAUGUUCUUGGAAGAACAUCUUUACCUUCUCCUAGAAGAUUAUGAAACUUAUACCAUUCAGAUUCUUUUAAUGCUAGUAUUGGAAUUUUAGCACUCUCAGGAUUCUCAAGGUAAACAGCCUUAGAACUUCCUGCUUGAUUUUCUGCUGGUACUCCUUUGUCCUUUGUAUGCAUGGAAUCCAUACAAUUCUUUUGUUAAAGCUUUAAGUGUCUAAAUCAAGUGAGCUUCAUUCUCUUCAUAAAACACAUACAUAAUAUUAUCAAUAAUAAUCUUCUGUUUAAAAGGUAAUAGCCUUUCCGUUCUGAAAACUGGUUUUUGAAAGAUCUUUAAAGACUGAUCAUGAAUAACCUUCUUCCCAGUGACUAAGGGUGACUUGGUUGCCUUAAAAGAAGCAUUUCUGCUUUUUGGCAAAGCAGCAGCCAUAAACGGACUUGAUAUGCCUUUACCAUCUGCCAUUUGAGAUGGGCUAGCCGGUCUUUUACCCUGAGACCGAUCAGUUGAGGUUGUUCAUUUCGGACACAAUAAGUACUCAUGUGCGAGCUUUUCUUCAUCAGAAUUAACAGACUGAUCUGCAUUUUUUCUAGAAUGGUCUGACAACUCAUCCCAUCCUUGAUCUAGUCUUGGCUUAAUUCUUUUUGAAAGCUGGCUUGACUCAGCAGCUCCAUAAGAAACAAUAUAUUGAUAACCUAGUCCGUCAUGGAGAGGUCCUACGGUUUUAUCACCGCUCUUAUAUCUUUCCCAAAUCUUCUUCUCCUCUGAUACACGUUUCCGGCUUCUUGGAUUGCGACAUUCUCUUUCAAACAUCACCAUUUCUCUUGUAAGAGCGUUAGGCAAAUAGUUCUUGUCACCUGCAACCAUUUCAGCAUCAUAUUCAUAUUGAGUUAAAAACAUUUGUCAUCUCAGAACUCUUCCCCUAUCAGCAGCAUCAGUUAAUUUGUAGUUUUUGAAAUUUUUAACUCUUUUGUUAUCAGUUCUUACUACAAAUCUGUUUCCUAAGAAUGCCUCAACACCCUUAAUGCUUUUAAUUAAGGCAAUGACUUCCUUGUCUCCAGUGGAAUAGUUUAACUCUGCUGCGUUAAACUUUCCUGAUAAAAAUUUACAAAUCUUUUCAUGAUUUGUAUCUGGAGCAACAGCUAAAACAACUCAUGCUCAGUAAUAAUCAUUUGCAUCAGUUUGCAAUAUGAUCAAAUCUCUUUCUUCGGGUAACUGUAAAAGAGGAAGGUUUUUUGUUAAUUCUUUAAUCUUUCUGACAAUAUUACUAUCAUCUUCUAUGAAAGACCAUUUCUUUUUAGAGCUUGUUUUUGGAGAGAGAAGUGUAGUGAGACCACUGAAUUGAGGAAUAAAGUCUCUCGCAAAAUUAACAACUCCCAAAAAUCUUUGCAAAGAUUUUACAUCAGGGAUAUUGUCAGGAAAUUGGCCGAUUUUCUUAACUAUGUGCUCUUGGAGACGAAUCUCUCCAUCCUUAACAUGAAUGCCAAGGAAAUCAAUUUCUUCUUGUAUAAGGUGAAUCUUCUUUUGUCCAAGGAUGAUUCUUUUUUGGACAAUAAGUUUACACACCUGUUCCAGGUGUUUUAGAUGUUCAUUCAUAGUUCUAGAGAAGACAAGAAUGUCGUCUAUAUAAACUAUACAGAAAUCUGAAUAUGGUUUGAAGAUAUUAUCCAUUUUCCUUUGGAAAAUAGACGGGGCUUGCUUAAGACCAAAUGACAUAACUAACCAUUUAUAAUGCCCUUGAGGAGUUCCAAAGGCUGUCAAAGCAAUGGACUCAGGAUGCAUUUUCACCUGCCAAAAGCCUGAUUUUGCAUCAAACUUGGAGAAGAACUUUGCUCCUUUAAGCUUGUUGAUGAGAACUCUCACCUGAGCUAUUUGAUAACUGUCUUUAACGGUCUUUUUAUUCACAUCCCUGUAAUCAAUCACCAUUCUGGCUUUUCCUCUUAAUUGUUCUGCAUGAUUUCUCACCAGGAAAGCUGGGGCAUGAUGAGGAUUGUUUGAAGGCCUGAUUAACUUUUUUUCUAAAAGUUCUUGGAUCUGAUUCUCCAUUUCUUUUCUAUCUUCUUCUCUGUAAUGAGGGAUGACUUUAACAUGGCAAAUAACAUUUGCAUCAAGCAUUUUUAACUGACAAUAUAUUGGGUCUCUUUCUCAAUACAGUUGAGGAUCUUCACUGAUAACAGGUUUCAGCAAAUUUUCUAUUUCUGUAAGAGUCGAAAUUUUCUUUUGCUCUAUCUUGUUAGCAUAUACCUUUAAGUUAUGCUCUCUGAUGUAUUCUUCUUCUCCAUCAGAACUCUCAUUGUCAGAAAUUUGAUAUUCAGAAUUUUUCUCUGAAUCAGAGUCUUCUAAACUUGUUGCUUCUUUCACCAAUAUUUCACUAUGCCCUUUAAGCUGUUCUUGUAGCAACAAAACAGGCUUUAAAAUUGACUUAUAAUCAUCACUCUUCGCUAGCGACUUCUGAUAUUGGUCUACAAUUCUUUUACUUGUAACGCGUACUGCGUCUGUUAAUCGGGAUUCCCAAUAAAAUUUUCUGUUUUUCUCAAACCCGAUCUUUUCUAGAGUUUGAAUUACUGUUUGUUGAAGAAGAAAGUCAUUUCCUAUCAGCAAAUCAGCUGUCUGGCAUUCACAUUGCCAGAGGAUCUUGAUAGUAAAAUUUCCUCCCCCUAAGGAAACCUUUAAAUUUCGAGCCAUAGUAUCCAUGACUAUUUGAUUUUCUUCCAUCGCUACUCCAGUAACUGUUCUUGAAGAUUUUUCCCAACAUUCUUCAGGGAUUGCAUAUCUUUUAGCAAGACUAUACCCUGAACCGGUAUCUACAAAGGCAUGUAGAUGAUACUUCUUGUAAGUGGGAAACUUCAGUCCUAUAGUAAUAUAAUUACUAUAUAUGCUUGUCUGGACUGGCAUUACUAGCGCUUGCUCUCUUAGAGUAUCAAGUAAUUCUGUGAAAAAGUUGACCUUUCUUAUUGCAGUUACGGAAUCAAGAGGAUUAUCUUCUGCCAGACCAAGUAUUGGAUUGGUGCUUAUGGAAUUUAGAGAGUCAAGAGAUUCCUUGAUUUCUUUGUUCAGGCUUAAUGAAGUUACAAACUUCAUUGUUUUUAUAUCCUCUUCGAGGUUCUUUUCUUGCUUUUUUAUGGAAUACAUUAUAUUCCUCUUCUACCAGGAUAUGUGCUUUAUUAUCCUUGGUCUUCCUUUUGAGUUCUGCAAUAAAGCAUUCUCGAUUAUAAGUUUCUCAUGUACUUUCAUAGUACAUGGGAAUUGUAUUAUUAUCAUCGUAUUUGCAAUAAUCACCGUUGAAUUUUCCCGGAUUGGGAUGGACGAUACUGAUAAUAUCGAAGUCUUCCUCUUCCAAUUUUGUAUAUAUAAUAAAAAUAUAGGACGAUAUCCUAUUUCUUCUUCAUCUUCUUCAGAACCUUCUGAAGCACUUUUUGUUUCACUAUUUGAUGGGUACUCAAGAGAAUGUAUUGAUUCAUUCUCUUCAUCAGAAUAUGCGACUUUAAAGCCUUUUAGAUUAGCAUAUUCUAUUGCUUCAUCAUAUUCAGCAAUUAAGACUUUAGAAGAUCUCUUGUCCUUUUUAGGACACUCAUUUGCAUAAUGUUCCUCUGCCUUGCAAAGCCAACAUCUGCAUUUCUUUUAUUCUCUAGAAGAAAAAUUAGUUUUCUUUUUCCUUUUGAAAAAUCUCUUUCUAGGAGAAGUUUGAGAAAAUUGUUCUUUCUUAUAUCCAGGUUUUCUCCUGAACUUAUACUUCUUUUUAGAAGCAAAUUUUUUUAUCAUGUUUGGUGCCAGAGAACUUCCUUCUGUAUUUUUUUUCAUUUGAAAUAUGAUAUCCCCAUUAUGUUGGGGUAUCCAGUAUUUUUGGACACAUAUUCUCAACUCCUUUGAGUUGCUUCUUGACAGUUUUGGAUUUUUUGUUCUCCGUGCAUUGUUUUUUUAGGAGAUCCCUAACUCUUUCUGCUAUUCCUCCUACAGUUUUGGAUUUUCUGUUCUCCGUGCAUUGUUUUCUUAGGAGAUCCCUAACUUUUUCUGUUAUUCCUCCUACAGUAAAGUACUGAAGAGGGUUUUCUUCUAACGAUUGUGUCACUGUAUCAUUCCAAGGUUCUGGCAAUUUUCUAUAAUAUGUUCUGAUAAGAUCAUCAUUCUCAAUAUCUCUAAUAGUGCAGAAGUAGUUCUGGAACUCAUUGGUGUAUUCCUCAAAAUACCUCAUGUUACAAAUACUCAAUUUAUGAAUAUUUGUUUUUGCUCGUUUUUUAGAUUGUUCACUAUGCCCCGUAAUAUCUCCACAAAAUUGUGUAUAGAUAGGCACUGCAAAAUCAAAAUGAAUAUUAGUUUGAGCUAACUUACUUGCCAAAUCAGUCCAUUGAGAACUUUUUUUGAAAGACUGAUACCACUUAUGGACUAUUCCAGUUAAGGUUGACUCAUAAUAUGCAUGAGCAUCCUCGUAGGCAAACUUUGUUAACACUAGAGCCUGAGUUAGCUUUAAACUAGCUACCCAGUUAUCUAUUGUCUUUCUUUUAUCUCCUACCUGGUCUAAAUCCAGAUAAACCUCUCUUUCAGACGCUGACUGUCCCCAUUUGGGUUCUUUAGGGAUAUACUUCUGAGAACUUCGUUCUCCAAUUCUUCAUGUAGGAGCUUGUCCUUUUGAAAGUUUAAUAUUCUUUUCUCGAAUGAUCUUAGUGGGAUUGUUUGUGCCCACUUUCUGGAGGAACUUGUCUCUCUCCUUCUUUUGUUUCCAUAGAGGAUGAACCUGGAGGCUCAUCUUUUGCUGUUUGAUAAGGAAGAAUCUUCCUUUUAUUCUUUCUAACUUGAAUAUGAGAAAUUUCAUUCAUGAUUUUCUCUAAUUCUUCUAUGGAUUCACAAAUUUCAGCUUGUGCAUACAAGUUUUUUAAUUCUCCUGCCCUAAGCAUUUUCAUAGGCCUUUUGGUGUCUUCUUCCUCAAAAGAUUCUUCAUCAAAGAUGGAUUUAGUUCCAGAAGAACUAGCUUCUUCAUAAUUAGCAAAUGAAUGCCUAUGAAACUGUAAGCUUAUCUUUCCUCCCAUGUCUUCAUAAAUUGACGCAUUGGAGCUUUCAAGCUGUCUGACAUGAGGGGUCAAAUUCCAUUCUCUUGGGAAUGUUACUUCAUGCCAUUUUGUGACAUGAUUUUGCUGAGAAAUAUUUUUUGGGUUGGUGAGAACAGAUGUAGUAAUCUCAGGGCUAUUUAGAAACCUGGUAUUAGGAGUUACAUUUGAGCUCAUCAACUUAUAAUAGAUUCGAUAAUAUAUCGCAAGUUCCAUCAUUCCUUUUUUCAUGGAAAUCUCAUUUGUCAUAAUUCUUAAUCUUAAACAGUGUGCAUCAUCUUUGAGAUGUGUUGUGAAGUUUGGAAACACAUUGAAAUAUGCAACUUGGUUGCACAAGGAAGCUUCAACCGUUCCUAACAGACUUUUCUUAAAAUCUGUUAUUCUAUCGUCUUGUAAGACACAUAGAACAGAACAGUCAAUACCAUAUCUAGCUAAUAGUUUUAUUCCUACUUGGACUGCUCCGAUAUGCAUAUAGGAAUAUUUUUUCUGGAAAGCUUCAUUUACUUCUUUUGGAGUUAUCAAUCUGAUAUCUGUUUCUCCUCCUGUGGUUGGAACAGUUAAUUCAAGAAUCUUGAAUCUAUGAGAAUCCAUAAUGAAAGAUCCCUUCUUGUAGAUCUCGUUGAAUUUAAAUCUAGGCGCAGAUGCUUCUCUCACACUAUAUUCGAUUUCAUUAUACUCAAAUUCUUAAGCGUUUAUUAACUGUACCGAAACUGUGUUCCUUUAACUAAGGAUUAUAUUCAGCAUCUUCAUAUCUCUCUUAGUUGUAGGUUUUGAUGCUUUUGCUGUUUUCCAUUCCAGAAGCUUUGGUUCACUAAACCUUAGUCUUCCUUCUCCCGUUGGGGAGGAUGGAGUAAGGAUAAUGAUUUUACUAGCCACGUUUUGAGCUAGAGCCUCUUCAUUUGUCCUUUCAUAAUUCUCCCCUUCCUUCAUCUUUUCUACAAUCUUUUGUAGAGUUGAGAUUCUGUUAUGUAAUUCUCGAAAUUGAACUUCGAGGUCAACACUUAUCUCUUGGAGAUAAGCGAUAGUAUAAUUAUGCUGAUGAAUUAUUGCUUCCACGUUUUCAGCAAGUUUUUCUGUAGGAUGAUGAAAGCCAAUAGCUUUAACAUCUUCCUUUUUUACUUUUAGAUCAACUCUUUGAUUCAUCAUAUUCUGGAGAUAAGAAUUUCUAAAAGCUUUUUCAGGUUUUCCUGAGUUUCUUUUAGUUCCACUGCUUGUUGAUGAAUAUUGUUUGCAAGAUUGUUAGUGCGAACUGACUUUCUUUCAAUAUCUAUUAGAUAUUGUUUUUUUUUUUUGAGAUAAUCCAGCUUGAUUUCAAGCCGAGCAAUCUUUGAAUUUAUUUCCUCAAGUUAAUUAAUCUGUAGAUUAAAUCUCUCGAGUUGUUCUGUAAAUUUUUCAGAAGUUUUAUCCCUAGAUAAAUGAUCUAGGAACUCGAUUAAGCUUGGUCUUGAUGGAUCAAGCUCUUCUACUCCGAUCUCUCUUUGGAGAUGAAUAUGUUCGUCGUAGAGAGUAUUUAAUAUUCUACACACGUAUUCAAUGGAGUAUUGAUUUUCUUGAAUAUGCCUUGUAUGAAAGCACACUUUCCACUUAUCAGUUCCUUUUGUAGUACAAAAAAACUGAUAAUUUUUAAGUUUGGAUUCUCUCUUGUUAGUCAAGAGAAGCCAACUCUGUGACAUAAGCCUUUUUCUCACCUGCUUUUGAGCCAAGCAGGCUCUGAUAUCAGCUAGAACGGAUCUAACCGAUGCUCAAAAUAUCAAGAGGUUUUUGGUCUUAUUCAAAAGUUUAUUGAAGGACUUCAAUUUCUUUCCUUGAUUCGUAUAUUUUUCGUUGCAACUGGAAAAUAAUAUCCCAGUAAUUUUUGGUACUUCUAGGAAGCUUAUCUCUUCUUUCGUUUAGUUUUCUAAAUUUUCUUCUUUCUUCUUGCAAUUCUUUAUAAGAAAGUUUAGCUUUUGCCAAUAAUUUAAGUCUAGUAGCAAUAUAUUCUCCAAUGUUGAAAAAUUUAACUGUUUACCUUUGAGUAAAAUGAUAGAUUUAUAUAUUUUCAACAUGUUAGAUAAACAAAUCCAUUUUCUUAGGCCCACCAUGUUUCGUCAAAUUAUAUUGAGAUCUUAACAUACAAGGGAAACAAAAAUUGCUGCUAACGGAAUAUUCUUUAAACUAACCGGAGACCCCUUGUUGAUAACAAAAUAAGACUUCGGGUAUCACAUUGAUACCUUUUAAAGUUUGAGCAUUAUUUUGGCCUUGGCAACACAAUUUAGGUGCCCUACUGAAUUUUCCUUUUUUUUUUAGGUAUAACUCUAAUUGUAACUAUGAAAUAGAUUUUUCAUAUCUAAUAUGUAGUAGCUUUUCUUUUGAGAAAUUUUAAAUACACACCCUUAAUCUCUUAAUACACACCCUUUUUUAAUACACUCAUCAUCUAAUUUUUCAUUUCGAUAUUAAACUUAAUAUACAUCUCAAACUGCCUAUAAUACCCUUAUAUCUAAAACUAAAAAAAUAAUAUGUUAUUUAGUAUAAUUAUUAUAAAUUUACAAUAUAUUUUGGUAACUCAUUUACGUUUUUUUUUCUAUUUUCUGCUAGAAAUUUUUUCUUUUCAUCGUCAAAUUUAUAAUCAAAAGACUAUUAUUACACAAACUUCAAAUCUCUGAUGCGAUAUCUAUCAUUUAGAAUUUAAAAAAAAUAUCAACCAUUUCAAGUUUUCGGAAUUCACAAGCUAGGAAAAGUACAUUAGGUCACUAGCUAUUAAACAUAUAUACCUACUUUUUUCAAUACAACAUGUCAAGAUGAACAUGUAGUAUUUCAAAAUGGUCAAGAUCAAAACUAAAACUGAUACAAAAAAGAAAAAAGAAAAAAAAGAGACAGAACCUAAAUGAACCGAUAUUAAUUGAAUAAUACAUAUAAUUAUUUGGUAGCAGUCGAAAUUCGGGUCAUAAAUUCUAAAAGUCGUUUUUUUUUUUUUCGUAUGAAACUAUAAAUUGUGGAGAAGAGUCAAGUUUAGGGAAGAAAUAGUUGUUUCGAUGGUUUUAAGGUAGGAGAUUAGAUUUCUAAUUGUGAUUUCCUAUUCUUUUUUAAUAAUAAUGUCUGUUUUGGUCAUUAAACAUGUCUAAAAUAUUUAAUGUGAAACAUAAAUUAAUACGAGUGUGUAUUAAGAAAUUAGGAAUGUGUAUUUAAAAUUACUCUUUUCUUUUCUACUACAGAAAAAGAAAAAGAAAAGAAAAGAGACUAGAAACGCGCUUAUAAAGACAAAGACUCCCUUGUUUCCUUGUCGUGUUUGUCUUAACCAGCCUACGGCCCAAAAUAGAUUUCCACUAUUAACCGGAGGUUCAAAAACGGCAAUUUCCCUCCUACUUGUCCCUCUUCGUAGUAAUCAUGAUCAGAAGAAGAACAAGGAGAAGAUCUCUUCCAAACACCUGCAAUGGCGGCGAUUCCACUCUUCUCCCUCUUUUUGCUCGUCCUGGCCGCUUCCUUCUCCGCCGUCGACGACUCGGCCGCGAUGACCGAGCUUCGAACAGGCCUCAUCCCCAAUCCGAGCGGCUGGGCCGCCCAGUCCGACUGGUGUCACUGGCCCGGCGUCCAAUGCGACGCCUCGAGGUCCGUUACGGCGAUCGAUCUCGCUUCCCGCUCUCUCUCCGGCAGCCUACACGCUGUCCGGAACUUGACCGAGCUAGCACGGCUGCGGCUCGCCGACAACCACUUCUCCGGUCGUCUUCCGGACUUCUCCGGCUGCACGGCACUCACGGAGCUUGAUCUUCGCGGCAAGGCAUUCACCGGACCGGUCGUCCUCACGGCAAUGCCGCCGGCUCUGAAAAAUCUCUCUCUCGACGGCAACCAUCUUCAAGGGGCGUUGCCAGAGUUCGGGUCGAGGAGCGUCGGCGUAUCCUUCAACAAUAAUAGCUUCUGUAAGACUAGUCCGGGGAAUUGUGACCCGCAGGUGUUGGCUCUGCUCGGAGUAGCAGAGGGCUUCGGCUUCCCUUUGGUCCUCGCACAGGCUUGGCGGGGGAACAAUGCCUGUCAGUGGGAGUUGAUCAACUGCGAUCAUUCAGGGAAUGUGGCUAUGAUAACCCUAAUCAGUCAUGAUUUCAGAGGCGGGCUCAUCUCACCCGAGUUGAGUCAAUUGAGGUAUCUUAGUUGCCUCACACUCAAGGGUAAUCGAGACUGGGCAUGGGAGACUUACCUCAGCUGAAGUUACUGGAUUUGUCGGAGAACGAUCUAUUCGGUGAACUACCUGCAUUUCGGAGUGAUGUGGUGGUGGUUACAUCUGGCAACGCCUUCCUCAGGCCAGCUGCUGCAGAGGAUUCCCCUCUCCUGCUCCUCCUAGGCCAUCUACUGGAGUUGGAUGUUGGGGUACCAGUAUGAUCAUGGGUAUGUUUUUCGGUAUUGUCAUAGGUGUUUUAAUUGUUGUAAUACUUGGAUUUAUUAUGAUUAGAAUUUUAGAUGGAAGAGUUGGGGUGCCAGUAUAGAGGAUUUGGUAGGGGAUUGUAAAGCUGCUGUAAUUGCCUUGUUUCAUAUGCGAAUAAAAUUUACUUGUUGGAUGUGUUUGCUGUUGUUAUUUGUUUAUCCCACUGAUCAUUGAUUGUUGCACAGGUUUACUGUGCUUUUUUUUUUUUAUAUAUAAAUUGAGAGUUGAAUGUUGUCAGCUGUUGUUUGCUGUGAUUCGAUGUCAGAAGAUAAAGAACCAAAUCAACAUAACAUGAUAAAGUAAACAUCUUGAUAUGAUAUCAUCUCCGACUUUCGCUUGUUAUGUUCAGUAAUAGGUUUGUUCUAGUGUUGUAAAUGAAGUUUUAUUGGAGGUGCUCCAUAAAGUGCCAAACUUUGAAUGUUGUGCACAUCUUGCAAUAUAUGAUGGGUGGAUUGGCUACAGAGGAUGCUCAGACGCAUUCAAAUACAAAUGUGCUUUCGGCUGGAUUACCCCGUGAGUUGGUUUGUUUACUUGUUGAUUUCAUUUUAUAUCAUAUGUCAUUAAUAGCUUUUCGAGCUAACAUCUAUUGUACAGGAUUGAUUUGGCAAUUCAUUGGUAGUCGGAUAUCAGUGAUGAAACUAUUUUAAGGUGUUCCCCAAAGAAUUAAAAUAUGCUUGGGAAAUGAAAUUAUUGGUAACUCUGAGGAAUUGACAUAACUAUCUUCUUCAUUCAUACACAUUAGUAGAUUAACUGGUCACUUUUCUUGAUAUUAGACUUACUGUAUUCCAUCUGUUGUUUCUAGUCUGAUUAUAUUCUGUGGUGUUGCAGGUGAACGUAAAAGCAGCCAAGAAAGCCAUUCUUGAUGGUGCGAAUCUACUGUGCAAGUUUGCAUGUCCAUUAGCUAUCUCCUUGUCUAUAGUGAUUUCAUCUAUCUUUGGAUUGCUUGUUAGUAGGUGAUAUGUACUUUGACCGACUUUUCCUUAUUCAGGUUUUCGGAAAACUGAUGAGGCUCUUCUGUAAGAAAUUGCUGCAGGUACAGCUUUAAUCUGAGAUCCCUAUAUUUUGAAUUGAUCUCUCUCUUGUCUUGAUAAUUCAAAUGGUUAUUUCAUGCAUCCAUAUCCAUCUAUUUUUGUCGGUAAAAUCUUUUGACACAAAAGAAAAGCUAUCUAUUUUUCGCAAGUAUAGAUCCCACUCAUCCCAGAGAACUAUUAUAUGGGCUAAUGGUCUAUAAUAUCCAUGACAAUUCCCAUCUUGGCUUUCUCUUUUUUUUUUUUUUUUUUUUUUUUUUUGGUCAAAAAGAAGCAAGAAACAUCUGCUUGGUUUCUGAAACCUUUUCAGCUUGUCAUGUUCCUUCAUCUUGAAAUUUGAAACCUUUACAUAUGGUUUUCUUAGUUUUUAGCCAGAAAAACAAACACAUUAACUGGUUGUAUAUUUCUGCUUGGUUUCUGAUAAUACUUCACUGUCAAAGCUGAAACAAAAAAGCACUUGUUCAUUUCUCAGAGUCCAUGAAGAAAGUUUCAACUUUGACAUGUUUUAUUCUCUUAUUUAUUAGAGAAGAAUGGAUAUUUUCCUUGCUUUUGUUUGUGCCGGAAAAUAAUCUUGUGUAGUCUUUAUUAGUUUCUUAAUAGUAGCAUUCUAUGAUGCCGCUGCGUGAUCCUUAGAUAAAUAUUAAUUACUUAAUUUCAUCUUGAUUCAUUUGCAUGCCCUUCGUCUUGGUUGCUGUACACUGAUGAUCGUUGUGUACAUUUCUGUUCCUGAAUGCUACAUAAUGGAAGAGCCAGCUGUGAGGAAGUAUGGGAAUUGUAUGGGAGAUUUCAUAUUCCUCAAGGUUCCCAGUUGUGGAACAUCAUGGCAAUAGGACCUGAAAAAGCCAAUUCGCGGUGGCCAAAUCUGAUUACAAUGGAUCUUCAAAGAGUAGAAGUUGUGGGAACAGCACUGCAACAAGUUGUGACGUUUCCAGCAACACAAAAGCAACAGCCACGUCUUCCAAGUCAAAGAAUGUGAAGAUCUCAGGGUUAAUGGCUGACAUAUUAGAAGGUCCUAGCUUAAUCCGACAAAGUGGUUCUUGAGAGUGAAGUUGACAGAUACCUACUUGAUCCAAUGUGAGUGUCCCAAAGAUGCAUAAAGUUGGCAGCUGCUUGAUCCAAUGGAAGUUCAGGAGCUGCAUAGCUUGAUUUCACAUAUUUCAGUCAUUAAGUCCUUUACACUUUAGUUUGUUUUCUUAUAUUGAAUCUGUUUAACUGUUAGAGUGUUGGUGCUUUGAACUGUAGGAAAGAUGGCUUUAAUAACUUGAAUUGCCGCAAUUGCUUAUUGAGCUUGCUGCCUGCUUGACUUUAAUGGUUUGCGGAAUGUGAAAAUGGUUUUUAUCAUUUCAUUGCUUUGCCUUUGCCUUGUGUUGCUUUUAUUUGAUUGAGAAUGUGAGAAUUUGCAGCCUUGCUUUGCCUUCGUUUGAUCAUUCCGUGUUCAAAAUUUGCAUUUUGCAGGUGUGUAUGUAUUUGUGAACAGAAGCUAUCAAGAUUUUGGCCUUUUUCCUUCAUUUCAUUCCGUGUUCAAUCUUCACGCUUGAGCUUUGCUUUACAGACCCUUGAAUUUAAAAUCCAUCCUUGAUUGUUCCUCAAUUGCUCUUUAUAUUCAAUCCUUGUGCGAUAUUAUCUAUGUGCAUUAUUCUAGAAUUGGAAUUUGAAUGUGGUUUGGUUGAUUUUGUUCCCUUCCAUGGGGUUCGAUUCCCUACAGCUGUUUUUUGAUCCAAAACAUAAAUUUUAUUUGAUCAUGUAUGAUGCAUGUUGGUGUGUCGCCUGUGAUUUGUAUUAACUUUGGUACUGAAUGGAAAUGGAUGUCAGUUCCUGAUACCAGAUCCACAGUUUGUUGUUUUGGUUUGACAAUUUGUGAUGACUUCUUUUAGUGUUUUGCUGGCAUGCAUUUCUGCUAUCAUUUUUUUAUUUUUUUAUUUUUUUAUUUUAUAGGAUUUGGCUUGGCUAAUGGCUGCCAUUGUUUGGAGUUAGAUAUGAGUUAUUCGAGGUGGUUGCAUGCGCUGAAAGGUAAAGACUUAAUUAGUUUGUUCAUCAUCUUCAUUUGCUUUCUGCAUGUUAACUUUAUCGGAAGGGGUUUAAGUUCGAAGCUGACCUUUUUUCAGAAACAAGGACCGCUAAUGUGGGCGAGUAAUCUCGGGCUACUCUCAACCCAGAGAUCCUACCUUGAAGAAGCCAAUCAAACCUAUAAUUGGCACAGCCAUGUUGUCCUUCUUAUAUAACCCAACUCCUUCAAACCAAUGCUGAGGCCCUGUGGAAGUUUGAUGCCGUCCAUGCCUAGCACAACAUUAAUUUCUAUCAUUCCCUCAAAUAUUCCAGCUACUUUUUUCAGCCAGUAUGAUCAGUGGCUUGGAAGAUUUUGCUAAUAUGUAAUCACCAUUGUGAUCUGUAUAUACAUAUCGCUGGCUAGAGUAGCAGUUUCUUGGUUAAGAUAUCAGCUUUUACUCAAAGCUUUUUCUGAUAUAUUAUAUUUGUGGCAUGGGUUGAAACUUGAAACACCUGUGUUUAUGAUGUGUAUAGGUCUCAAUGUUUUUCGCAUAAUUCAAUGUAUAUAUCAGCGAGCUUGUAGUUCAGUUGGCAACGUUAGGCGUGUAUUUCAAUCUUUAAUUUUGGUCAGUAUAUAAGCUUUAGUGAAUAAAAUUUCAAAAGAUUCUUGAAGGAAAAAAGAAAGAAGAAGAUAAAACUAGCGGAAUUAUAUAAGCUUUAUUCAUCUGUAUAUCGAUGGAGUACGUUACAUAUAGUCGAUAGUUUUUAACCCAGUUGCCCUAUUAUUGCUUCAGCAAUACCAGCAACAAUUCUGACACCUGAAUUAAAGUCAGUAAUAGGAGAUGACCCUCCGAAUUUAUCCUCACAUAAUCUUCCAACGGAGUCAGGAAUGUAAUGCAUCAAUUUCCCUGCAUCCUGAUGUUUGCUCGUAUAAAUUACAUGCUUGGCAGCAGGGACCAAACUGCCCACGAGCAUUGCGUAUUCUGUUUUGCAAUCCUGUAACGAUUGUGUCACGCCCCAAUUUUUGAAAGGAAAUUUUCAAAAAUUUUGGCAUGAUAUCCCUUAAAAUAAUAUAAUCCCAAAACCUGUUUCAACAAAAAUCAAGGAAAAUAAACUCAAUGCGUAAUGUAAAUUUACACACAACAGCAAAUUGAGUUAAAUUACAAUUCCUUGUUUACAUAACUUGAGAACAAGAAAAAGAAACUCUCACAUGAGUUUAAUAAAUCCUAUCCCAGUGUAUAUAAAAAGAAUAUACAAUGAACAUCCAAAACCCGACAAAAAACAUUGCCACUAAGCCUCCACCUCAACCCUGUUGAUCCUCACCUGCAGGUCUAACCCCUACACCAAGAAUGGUGCACCAGGUUGUAAACAACAAACCCGGUAAGCUAAAAAGCUCGUAUGAGUAAACUCAAAAACAACACAACAUUUAAUCACAUCCAAUAUUCACAAGAGAGAUUGGAUCAAUAAUUAAAAACCACACAUCUAACACAUUACCCAAGAAAUGUACUCAUGAGUCCCAGAUAUUUAAAUAAAUACCCCUCAUGACCUACAACAACACUAUGUGUAUCCAUGGGUCCCAGAUACCAUACAGUAUCUCCCAUGACCUACACUGACAGACGGACUAGAGCUCUAUUCCUAACCGCAACCAAUCACCCGGCCAAAGGCUUGGAACCCGAUUUGACUGUCUAAUAUCAAACAAAAAAAUGAUAAAUAGUAUCUUAACCGCAACCAAUCACCCAAAAAGGGCUUAGAACCCGGUUUGGCUAUUUAUCCAACAAUCAUAAUAAAUUCCACAACAUUAUCCUCAACAACACAAUAUCACAAUUAUUAUUCUCAACAACAUAAUAUAAAGAAGACUUGUUUUUAUCUUACCUAUGAGCGGUUGGUGAUCAAGCUCAUAUAUUUUUAAAAACAAUUAAAAGUAUAAUAUUGAAACCAACAUCAUCAUCAUUAUCAUUAUAUAACCAUAAUAACAUUAGGUUCGAAAGUGAACCUUGGUGAGAUUUACUCACCUAAAUAUCUCGCUGCAAUUUCCACAACCAAAUAUAGCAAGCGAAACACAACUUCACAAAUCACCUAAAAAAUAGCACAAAUAAAAUCUUAGUAACUAAAACACUAAAGGUUAUCACACUACCCUUAACUAACCCUUAGUUAACGAGAUGACAACUUUCCAAAGUCGUCCAACUUAGAGACCCACAAAGGCUGCCUCUAAUCCUCAAAUCUUACCCCAAACCUCAACCAAGCCUACACAAAUAAACUUAAGUCCUAACAUGCCAACCUUGCCUAAAAUCUAGCCAUACUACCACUCAACAAGCUCACAGCAACAAAGACUAGCUAACCACAGGAAGCUAAGGCCGCAACUCAGCCGGACGUGCCGCCACAAGCGGCGGCGAGUGGGCCCCACGCGCCACCCCAAACUUCCGAAUUAGGAGAAACUCCCAACAGCAAAGUUGAAGCUUGAAGCAAGGGGAACAACUUUCAUACCUGAGACUUCGACCAAUUUUGGCCGGAACCGGCCGGAAACCGCCCCGAACAGUGACCAGAAAAUCAAAGACAAAAUCUGCAAAACCGGCCUCAAAACCUUAAAAACUUGCUUCAGUCCAUGCCUAAACACUACCAGGGGAAGGAGAGGAUCAAGACUCACCUAAGGAUGUACCUCGUCGCCGCCGUACACGGCAGCUCCGACCGUGGUGCAGCAGCCCUCUUUCCGGCAACACAGCUCCGAUUCCGGCGCGCCACACCGAGCAGCAGCUGCCCAGCCUUGAAGAGCACACUUGUGGGAGUCGAACGGGACCGGUGGCGGUCCAAACGGUGGCCGGACGGCGGAGCUAGCUCCGGCAGAAUUUUGGUCCUCAGGGGAGCUCGGGAGAGGAAGAGAGGGAAGGAAAAGAGAGAGAGAAAAAAGUGAGGUGAGUGAGGAGAGAGAGAGAGAGAGAGAGAGAGAGAGAGAGAGAGAGAGAGAGAGAGAGAGAGAGAGAGAGAGAGAGAGAGAGAGAGAGAGAGAGAGUAGAGAGAGAGAGUAGAGAGAGUNAGAGNNNNNNNNNNNNNNNNNNNGNNGAGAGAGAGAGAGAGAGUUGCUUUUAGUGUUAGGGUUUCCAAAAAUAACCCACACACAUUUUCCCACUUAAACACUUUCCACACCCGGAACCUAACUUCAUUUGACCACAACUUUCUCUCACAACUUCCGAUUUAAGCGUGCCGCGUGUCUACGAACUCGUAUCGACAAGCUCUACAACUUUCACGAAGGAAGUUUUCGAAGAUAACUUACGGAAAAUAAAGUCAACUUUUGGCCUAUUAAAAGUCAAGGCAACUUAAAUAAACUCCCGAAACUUCAACUUCGCAUAAACUCAAGAAUUUUCAUGAAUAAUCCUUCAUUAAAUAAGGGAAUAAUACAAGGAAAAAAGAUAUGAAAAUCUAGGGUAUUACAGAUUGAUCUCCUGGUGUUUUACCAAGAAGCUCAUUGAUCUUGUUCAGAGUUGUAGUUGCUCUAAGCCCGACUACAUCGAUCAUUACAUCCGCCAUGCGUGUGCGAUUUGCAGUAUAGAUCCCGCUGCCACCAUUAUAUUUAAGCAGAUAGAGACAGAUAUCAUAGUCUGGUGUCUUUCUGCAUGUUUGCUCGAUGAGCUUCUCAUCCAUCGGGAAGAAAACCUGGCUGCUGCUGCUGCUGCUGCAUUGGCUUAUUGGAAGGAACACGAGAAAACACACGAGUUGAACUAGAAAAAUGAAGGUUGAUGGAUUCAUCCUCUUUUGUUUUUGUGGACUUCUAAGGUGUGAGUAUGUAGGUCUCUUAUAUAAGGUGCGUGUAUUGAUGACGCACCUUAUAUAAGGGGGAGAUAAGAACACAAGUGUUCAAGUGGAACGACGUGAAUUGUCGUGGUUUGUCCCCACUAAAUCUCAGCUUGAUCCCAAAUGCUUAUAGUGUUAAAGUGACGAGAUCACAUGCUGCAAAUAUGUCUGCAAGGAUUGAUGUCCUACAAAAGGGCAUGGCGCGACCAAAAGAAGUUGGUCUUGGCGCCAUCACCAUGGAUGGUGAUAUGGUGACGCCAUAUAGUGGCAAAAUUGGUGUCACAAGGCCGUGUGGCUCCCUAAAAGGAGGGAGGCCCUUGGGUUCGAUAUAUUCUCGCACUAGGAAGAAAGCGAGAUUGGCACAACCUGAUCCAUUGAUCAGUGAUACUCAAAUCCGUCUCAUGAAGUCUGAAUUGUGAUUAUCGUUGGGGGACGCCUCAAUGUCAAAUCCAAUCCAUAUAGAGAUCUCUACAAGUAUUACACUAGUGUACAUGAGGACGUGAGAUAAUGAGUNNNNN